CGAGGAAGAGGUUGCAGCCAUGGAUACUUACGACUAAAUUUUUUUGGCGGCCAGGUGCCACCGAAAAUAGGGCCCAUGCCGCUAAAAAUAAGCUAUGUAGGGUGCUGAUAUGAUGAUAUAAAGAUAACAAGUUAGCGGCAUGGGUCCUACUUUCGGUGGCACUUGGCCGCCGAAAAUGCUUUAUGUUCAUGUAGUGUUCUCAGCAAAAGUCAUUCAAUAUGUGUUUGAGUCAGAUUCCUCAAUAUUUGAUCCUUGCCUAAAUAUUUUAUUCAAAUCCGUAUUCGCAAACCGACUUAUUAUCUCUAUAUCAUCAUUCAUAUCUAUCUAUCAAGUGUAUUCUAAAGAUUUCUCGAAGUUUGAACCAAAUACUCACAUAAACAAAAAAACAAAUCCUAUACUUACUUGAAACUACUCGUUUGGACAAAUGCGAAUUUCGGAAUUCAACCAAGCCUUGCCAUCUUGCUCAAACAACUCUAUAUGAACUCUACAACAAAAGUUAUUGAUGGUCCAUGUCAAGAAAAUGUCGAGAAAAUACUCCGAUUGCUCUAAAAAUCUAAUUUGAAGCAUUAUAACAGUACAAUAUUGACCAAUGUGAAAAUUCCAUUUCCAAACAAGAUAUAAGGUUAGACCUUUAAUAAAAGUUGUAUAACAGGUGAUAUAAAUCAAAUGUUACAAUUACACCUAACCUUGAUUUGAUCUCUAAGUAUCUCAAAUAGUGCCCUCAAGAUGGAAUAAAAAUCUGAUUUCAGAAUUUGAAAUCCUUCUAAGUCUGGAAUCAUUGUCAAUCGGGUUGACGUCUCGUGUUCCCAAAUUUUUGUUAAACAACUCGAGUUUCCCUAAAUAUAAAAGUUGUUAAUAACUAAUUGUGGCACAACAUAUUAAAAAUGGCAUUCAUCCAAUUCUAUUUGACAUGUUUUGACACUCAGUUUCCAUUGAUUUUCAAGGCAGUGACAAACCUAUUUUCAUGGGUCUAUAACUCUCUAACCAAUUCUCGAACCAACUUAAUCUCUAUAUAAUAUUUGUAGAUUGUAGAUCAAGGAAAAAGUACCGCCCAAAGUCACUGUUGUAGCACCUGCGCCACCUGUUUGCCGUUGGCUGGCAAUACCCAGAGCUCCAUCUCUAUAAAUGGCAGCCCAUCCCUUUCUCUUCUCCCCUGCAGCGUGCUCUACUUAUAGUCUCCCACGCCGCCCUCUCCUGCUCCCUCCAUGCGGCUCAUUCCUCCCCAUGUCGUGACCGAGGCAACCGCCAGAUCACGCAUCCAGCUCUCCGCGCAAGCGCUGCACACCGUGCUUCUUCCACCUCGCCGUCGCAGCAAGCUCUACAGCACGCUCGCCUCCGCCUUCCUCUGUCGUGCGCCGCACUCGGCUUACUCCUUGCCGGCACCCUCGCCUCACCUCUAGAGCUCCGGUCGUGCCCCUCCCAGCCAUGGGAUGUCGAGCUGCAUAGCCGCUCCCUCCCUUCUCCUUUACGUGAAGCAAUGAAGAGGACCCGUGUGUGCCCAUGACAGCUGGCCCCAAGGCCAAAUGUGAGUGUACACAAAUUGAAGAUUUUUGUGUUGUUUUGCAAAAAUCAUAUCUCGAGUUUGGGAACUCCACAAAUAGUGAAACUUGUGUUGUUUGUUUUAUUAUGAAAUGCUUUACCCAUUGGAUCUAUAAUAUAUCAGGUUUUAGUUGAUAUUUUCGGCUAUAGAAAUUUAUUUUGAAAAGAGAUUUAGAAAAUAACUUAACUUUCUUCUCUCCAUAGUUUUAAUUUUAGAUGUCCAACAAGGAUGAUACUAAUUUUCUUAGUCUCAUGGUGUCAUGAUCUAGCUAAUAAAAAUAUAAAACACAUAUAUUAUUUUCUGUUUUCUUUGUGUAAUAGUUAAAUCUUGUUAAAUAAGAAAAAUAUGAUUGUUUUUCUUGUUAUUUUUGGAUCUGUAGCUCUAGUGCUCCAAGUGAAUUGAAAGUUUUACAGUAGACUCUUGGAGUGAUGCUUGGUGACUGGUAAAUAUUUCAUGAUAUUUGGUGCAUGUACCACGAGGUUAGUGAUUUAACUUGUUUGAUGCACAUUAAGUAGUUUUAAAUGAUUUAAAAAUAAUAUAUGGAUGUAAAAAUGAAACGUGGUGUUUAACUAUCUUUAUAUGAUGUUGUAGUGGCCUAAUACAACUUAAUAUGGUCAUGUGUUCAAAAAAAUAAUUACUUUUAGAUUUAACUUCCUCUCACAUGCUUUAUUGCUAUAACAAUUUGUUCUUUUUGUGGUAAUUAUUAUAUAAAACCUGAUGUUGGGGGCCUUCGGCUUCCGAAGGUCCUCAAAAACAUGAUUUGACAAUAUUUUCCAAGUGAAAUAUAUGAACAGGUAUCUUCGGAAUCGGGUCAUGAGUAUACAAGAGCAUGGUCAGGACGAAGCCUCAGCGAGACGAAAGGUGAUUAUGACGAAGGAUAAGGUGAUCACGAAGCUGUGCGCAGAAAAGCUUCGGCAUGACAGCAGAGAAGGGGAACCGACUUAAAGAUGAAAAGGCAAAUUAGACCUCGAAGAAUUACUAUAGAGUUAUUGAUAAAUGUAAAGGGCAUGAAUGUAAUUCUACAUGGGCUGCGUUCCUUGCCUAUAAAUAGAUGAACAAUACUCUCGUACUGUUCACGCUGACUUGGCAUUCGCUUUUUGCAUCACGCCUGUACCCUUACUUUCCGUCAAACCGAAGGUACAUUUAUAAUUUGUUAUUUUGGAUAUGGUAAUGAAAAUAAAAAUUAGUUGAUGAUAAUGUUGAUACUAUUUUUCGUAUUUCGUAUAUAAAUUCUUCCCUAUCAUUUAUUGUGCUUACGAAGGUUUUUCCUUCACAACCUUCAUCCGGGAUUCAUUAUAUCCGAAGGGACAUAAUGCCUUGAAGGACGAAGGACUUUAAUAUUUAACACUUUUUAUGUUGCCUUGUUCUUAACUCUUAGCAUUUGAGAACAAGUCCCCAACACCUGAGCAUGUAAAAUUUAUACAUUAGUCAUAAAUUGUUAUCUCCUAUUUCACAUAAAAAUCCCAGCCCCAAAUUAGAUAGUCUCAUAUAGUGCUAAAAUAAUGUCCAUUAUAUAAUUAUAAGAAGGAUUAGUGAAGAAUUAGAAUUAAGCAAAUCAUACAUGUUUCAUGGGAUGCUUAAAUUAGACCUUAAUACCAAUUAGAUGUUUAAUGUUUAUGUCAUAGUGAUGUAUGUCCAAAUCUUAGUGAUACUCCCUUAUUGUUUUGCUUGUGGAUUAAGUUAUGUAGGAGUGCCCAUGGACUGGAAUCUGCUGCUUGUAUGUUUUCUAAUUGUAGUGAUGAUUCAGUGAAGAAAAUUAUCUUUUCUAUAGGUGUGUUCUCUACAAAACAUGUAGUUAACUCAAGUAUCUAGCAUGUCCUAAAUUUCAUGAGUUUAUGCUAAAUGGUUUAGGAGUUAUGCUUGUAGCAAGUUGACUGUCAGGUUUUGCUUGUUUUUUGUGCAGAUUUAAUGAUUGUAUUGUUUGACUGAAUUAGACUUAUAAUCACUUCUCAGGAAUAUUAAAAUAGUUAUAGUAAUUUUCCUAAGCUUUCUAAAAAGUCUAGAACCACAUUUAUUUGAUAUAUAGAACUCUAUUUAUGAUUGUUUUAAGUUGCACAUUGAAAUCUGUCCCAAACCGGAACAACAUUGCAUCUUGAUGUUGUUUGAGCUAGUUAACUAUAAAACCGUCUUAAGGUGACCAUAGGCCUGAUAAUUUAGAUGUUGUCUUGAGUUGUAGAUAACUUCAUUAUCUUUCUUUUUUUAAAAUUUCAUGACCAUAGGCCUGAUAAUUUAAAUGUUAUGAAUUUUACAAGAUGAUUGUUGUGUUCUGUCCACUUUCUGAACAUAUUUCAAAAAAUGUGUUGUUUGGAUUGAUUUAAACUUGGGACCACUUCUUGGUCAUUAGAAAAGUUGUGUAGUACUUUUGUUAAUCUUUUCAAAUUUUAUUAAAUCAAUGCCUUUUGUGGUCUAGACCUCCAAUUAUAGGCAUUUGAAGUGAGAAGACAGAAUCUGUCCAAUUCUGGAUAGAGAUGUCCAAAUUGCAUUAUUUGACCUUGUUAAAUAUGGAACUAUCUUAAGAUGGUAAUUAUAAGGUUAUAAAAAUUUAAGGAUCUUUCUAUAAAGCUAAGAACCAUGUUUUCUGGAUGUCCAGAAGUCGAGAUACACUUCACUGAAGUUUAUAUCAGUUGAUGUCCAUGGUUGGUAUGAGUGAGAUGCUUGGUGUGUUUUUGCCUUGAUAGCGUUUGAAAUUCGCUUUGGGUGAUAAUACCAAAGUUAUAGAUGGUUUGUUAUGCUUUCUAGAAAGUCUAAAAUCACUCUUUUUGGUUGAAUAUAUCAAAAGUUAUGAUUAAAACAUAUAAAUGUUAUACUGUUGUCCAAGCAUGUUUGUUUUGAAUUGAUUGCUAUACUUGCUUUGGUCGUGAUUGAGCACGAUUGAUAGUGCUAUCUCAUGACACUAUAAUAGUAGCUUAUAUAAUUGGAAAUAUAUAAGUAACUAGUGCAUGUCUACAUAAAUAGUAAAUUAAAUCGUUGAAGUCUAGUAAGUAGUUAGCUUCAAUCAACUUUAAUUUAGCAAGUGUAGUAUAUGGACAAGAAACUCAAUUAAUGAUAUAUUACCAUUUCUAAUAAUUGCGCUGCUAAUCUUAAUAUUACUAAAUAACCAACCUCGUUAGACUAGUAUAAAAGGCAUUAUGAUUAGGCUAACACCUUCUGUGUAUUCUCUUGAGUGUGUGCUUGCAUUAGAAUAUUGUGAAUAAUGGUAGAACCAGAUUAAGUGAUUAUUCCCUAUUAAACUUUGUCUGUUUGUAUGACGUUUAGAAGGCGCAGUGAAUGUACGUGUACUUAACUAGUACAAUAAAGGAACUAAUGAAAGAUUAGAGUGAAUGUGGUAAUGCAUGUAAUCGUGAUGUCGUGCUUGUGUUGGCUAAGUAUAGGAAGUGUUCGUCGUUUUCUAGUGACGAUUGAUUACGUGUGCCUAUUGGCGUGUAGAUAGCUAGCGCUAGUGUGUCUGGUUGUUCACGGUGUCUCUAUAUUCAGUGUUUCGUUCGCUACCGUGUGUUUUGGGAUUGUCUUGUGAUAUUUUUCAUCAUACUCAUACAUAUGCAUCACGCAUCUCAUUUAGGCUAAGAGAUGAUGAUCGUGCGAAAUGAAGGAUGUGAAGUGGAGCUGACCACAAGACGUGUCGACAAACACCGUGAUGAUGGACAGAUGGAACCAACUCUCUGAUAGGAGAUACUCGUCAAGCGAGUGUCAUCUAGCAAACAAUAACUAGUGUUGGAUUCCAGGAAAGCACCAGUUUUAUGCAUAACCGUUAUAUAUGCUAUUUUAUCGCAGUUAUUGGUUGUAGGCUUGUACAAAGCACUUAAGUGUAGGAGUUACUUGAAACCCUGGUUGCAUUAACUCAAGUUCCCUUAUGAGAUGAAUACUAGUAUGCUAGGUCGAGUAGCUGCUUUGCUAAUUAAGGAUCUCGGUAGAAGUCAGUUGAUUUUUCUAGCACUCGCGUGAGGUCAGGAAUUGGUUUUAUCCAUUUUUUAUAACAGAAUUAUGAUUGUCUAUGGACACAGAUCCAUGGUGAUGCCCUAUCUAUGAGAUGAAAUUGGAAUAAGAAUUAAUGUGUGGUACUGCGUGUCAAGCGUUUGAACGUACUAAACACAUGUUGGGAAAUAUGGUAACCGAUAAGCUAGUACCUGAUUGAACUUGCCCGUAGACUUUAUCCCUCACUUGACCUGAGAUGGAGUCUCCCAUUCUAGAUAUGGUGUGUACAAGUGCGGUUACUACACGGCGGUGGCCUGGGUCAGUGGAGCAUUGUAUGACAAGGCCGUGAGCACUAUUCUGUUGCUAGGGAAUCGAUGGGACGACUAAUGUGUGUGGGGACAUAGUGCCCCUACAUGUCGUGUGUUUAGGUUUACCUUGCAAGCUUAAAACUCGAUUCAAAUCGUCUUCUUCUUGCAUCUAAUGAGGCUGCUUCAUACGUGGUGCUACAUCGAGUAAGAAGUGAAAUGAGGUCUCAUGAUAUGAAGUGUUGCUUGCACUAAAUGCUUGUUACCAUGUAUGGGUAGCUAGGAGCUUACCUAGAUUAAGGAAUAUUCUAGAACCUGAAAAGUUAAAAAGUUGAGUUAGAACUCAGCUAGUGCUUUUGGCAAACCAAACCCCUCAGUCAAACAUCUUCAUGGUCUAGAGGUCGAGGAGUAGACUCCUCACACCGGGUAAGUCUAGCUGAGUACUAGUAUAAUUAGCCUUCCUUGUGGCAUAAUUUUUUACAGGUACUCCUUUGGAUGAUUGGUUGCUGGUGUGACUUGGCCUUCAUCCCUACCAUUGGGAUGGACGGACGAGUGGGAUGUCACCUCUGCAGGAGAGGACCAGGAGUAGUAGCGUAUCCAGGCUUCGGCAUGUUACUCAGUUUUCUCCGUUAGUUAUUUUUUGCUGCAUUAAAAAAUAUGGUUUACUUCUUAUGAAAUUCCAAUAAUGUAAUCACUAUUGAUACUUCUUAAAUUUGUGGUAUUAUGCUUUAUUGUAUUUCUCUAUGCCUCACCUUCGAGUGAGCAAGUGAUAUUUGAUCCUUGUUAAGUGGUUUAAUCGGACUACAUUCGACGGACUGAUAGUUUAUUCUGAUUGAAGUGUGUCAUUGCCUGUAAGGCAAGACUUGGGCACUUAAGCUGGAACAAUCCGGGCGGUUUCACCACAAAACCACUCUUUCGUCCAGUACCCAUGCCGAUUGGUUUGUUAUUUAAGGACCAGUCCAGUUGUAUCCUUACGAUACGUGAAGUUGUAACAUUUGAAGUUAUUAUGGAGGCUUGUCUAGCGCUUGGCCUUCAUUUGAUAGUGCAAAUCAUGCACCCCGCAGAAAGUAUCGGCAUUCUUGUGACCCCCAGCUUUUUACAGCCCAAAUGAAAACGCUAAGGCGAACUAUGGCAUUCGGAGUCAGUUUAUGCAUAUAUACCUCAUAACGUUGCAAUAUCUUCGUAAUCAUCCUGUACAUAGGUAACCGAGGUCCUACCUUGAAAAAACUCUUUUAAACGACAACUUCGUUUUUCUUCGGCUUUGGGGUUGUCUCCUCACCAGGAAGGCGCAUGUUGACCUUGCUGCUAAAGUAGUCAUGCUUCUUCAUUGUUUGCAUGUCUUUUUUCCUUCAGAGUAGAGUGACCAAUAUCAAUAUAGCUUGGCUUCGACGGUCUGUCCUUAGGCAGCUCUUGGACAGGCUUUGUUGAUGACGAAGCCUUCAUGGCUUUGGAGAUUGACACAGUAUCUUGGCCUGCCUCCAAAGAGGUAGUCAUGAUGAGAUUAGCAGUUGAGCGGAUUCUAGCCAUCUGUGAAAAUUUUAUUAGAGAAUACACUUGCCGAAGCUAUUAUUCGAAGUGAAAGUGGUUGGAAAGCUUCGGAGGCACUGUUGCGGAUCCGCCCAGAUUAUUCUAGCUCAAUUUAUCAAGCAUCGCCUUGAAGGCAAUCAUACACUUAACUCGGAAUAAACUGUCGGUCCAUCAAAUCUAGUCCGAUGAAACCACUAACAAAGAUCGAGUACCAGUUUCUCACACGAAGGUGAGACACGGAGAAAUACUAUAAAACAUUAUACCAUAGAUUAAAGAAGAGCUUGAGUUAUUACAUGAAUCAAAGUUUAACAUUGAGAACAUUGUUUUAAAAUGCAGCAGAUAACAACUAAUGUCGAUAAAUAGGGAGUAGGGUGAAGUCGGGCUCACUACUUCGCCUGAUCCUCUCCUGCUGAGGUAGCAUCCAAAUCGACUGUGAGACCAAGUCACACCAUCAACCAUGUCUUGCAACAAACCUGUAAAGUUAUGCCACAAGCAAGGCUGAGUAUACUAAUAUUCAGCUAGACUUACUCGGUGCAAGGAGUCUACUCCUCUACCUCUAGAUCAUGAAGCUGUUUGGCUGAGGGGUUUAGUUUGCCAAAAGCACUAGCUGAGUGUAAGUCAAGUUUUAGCUUAAUCAAGUUCUAUAAUAUUCUUUAAACUAGGGUUGCUUCCUUCUAUGCAUACAUGAUAGCAAGCAAUUAAUGCAAUCAACACUUUAUCUUAAGAAACCUCUUCCACUUCUUACUCGAUGCAGUACAAUGGGUCAAGCGGUCUCAUUAGUUGUGAGAAGCAGACAAUUCGAAUCGAGUUUUAAACUUGCAAGGUAAAUCUAAACACACGACAUGUCAGGGCACUCCGUCCCCACACAUGUCAACCGUCCCCAUUGAUUCCCUGGCAACAGAAAAUGGCUCAUGACCUUGGAAUACAAUGCUCCACUGACACUGGCUACCUCCGUGCAAUCGUAGCACUUGUACCCACCAUAGCUAGCAUUGGAGACUCCAUCGCCGUACCAAUGAGGGAUAAAGUCUGUGGCAGGUUCAAUCAGGUACUAUGCUUUUCAGUUACCAUAUUUCCCAACAUGUGUUUAGUACAUUCGGACGCUUGACUCAAGUAGCCACACAUUAAUCCUUAAUUUUGUUCAUGUUUCAUAGAUAGGGCAUCCACUUAGGACCCAUGUCCAUAGACAAUCAUAGUUCCCGUUAUCAAGAUGAAUACAACCAAUUCCUAACCUCGCGAGCGUGCUAAAAAAUCACUCAACUUCUACCGAAAUCAUUAAAUUAGCAAAGCAGCUACUCGACCUAGCAUACUAGCAUCCAUCUUAAAAAGGAACCUGAGUUUAUGCAACUAUGGUUUCAAGCAAUUCCUACACUUAUGUGCACAGUACAAGCCUACAAACAAUAAUUACAAUAAAUUGGCAUAUAUAAUGGUUAUGCCUAAAACCAGGGCUUGCCUUCGGGUGUGGGUGCAGCGGGGAGUUCUUCGAUGGCAGGUUCGGGAGCUGGCUCCUGGACUUCUUCUUGUUCGGUUCCUUGCUCCAGAAUCAGCACAUACUCUCCAUCCGCAAGAUUGCAAUCUAACGAAUGCAAUGCAUAAGAUAUUUAUAUAAAUGCUAUGAUAUGCAAGAUCUCAUUGGAUGGAUAUUAUAAGUAUCAUUGAGCUACUUAGCGAAAGUGGGAUUCUAUUUUCAUUGAGUUAGACUUUUAGGAGUGGCAUCUAGUGGUAUAGUUAGGAUUUAAUAAAAGGUGGAUUAACUUUGAGAUUACUUCCAAAUGGUCUUGAUGUGCCUUAGGGAGGUUGCUGGUAUCUUUUAAUUUCAUUGGGUCAACCUUUGUUUCCUCUCCUUCUUCCUUCUCUUAUUAAGCUUUUAAUGGUGAUUUGAACUACACCUACGUUUUAGAAUUUUCCAAAAAAAUCACAACAAUUAUAGUAGCUUCAUACUAAUUAAAUUAGGUUAUCCUAGAAAUUAAGAGUCCAGUGGAAUUAGGGUCUGGUUUGAACAAAAAUAAAAAAGGAUUAGGGCAGAGAUCGCACUUUACACUACAUCUCCUAUUUAGAAGUACCAACUGCCCUAAUGGUUAUUCUUAGAAAAAUACGUUUUGCCUACUGCUUUACACUUUUAGGCCAUGUUUCCAUUUUGCAAAAGAAUGGGUAGAAUCCUAAAUCAAUUUUAAAAUCCUACUUAAUUUUGUGAACUUAGGGGUACAAUAUUUUUGUGGGGGUUCACUGAUGAGUAUCUAUUAUAUUUUUCCUAGCCUUAGUAUAAAGGUCCUACUUUUUUACUUUCAUUUCCAUAUUUUAAAUUAUACCCCAAAUUAAUUAAAAACUUACAAAAAUAGUACUGGACUAGGGUGUUCUCUACUUUUGCUCUAAAGUUUAUUUUGCACAGAGUCUAGCAAAUUUUGUUUGACCAAAUUUUGACAUUUAUUUUUCAAGUUAUGACUUUUCUAAGUUUACUGCAGAGUAAAAUGAAUUAGAAAUUCAAAAAGGAAAAGCAAAAAGCAUCUUGCGCUCGGGUCCAUGGGUAUUUCGUUUCUCUUUCCUCAUAGACCGGUCCUUGGUGCACUAUUCAACUGAGUCUCUAUCAUUAAGGAAAACACCCUAGGUUUAUCGCAUAUACAACCCACACUACACUUCCUCACCAGAACAAUGCCAGACGUGUAGAAAAGGACGGUGGGGCUCACCGAUGGUAGUUGAGCUCCGGCGAGGGGUCGGGUGAGGUCGGGGAGGCUCGGACGAUCACGUCGAUGGCCAGGUCGUGGCUGGUGAUGGUCGAAGCUACUCGAUCCACGUGCGCAUGCGGUGGUGUCAGCGGCGGCUCCAAAUCCGAUCAACGGCGUUGGUCGAGCUCGAUUAAACUGGCUGGGGAGCUUCAUUGGUGGUCGGGGAUGCUGCUGGUACAAGGAAAUAGGCGGCGGUGUACUGGGUGGCGCUAGCCACGUUCACAAGUGGGCGGGUGAAGUCCAGCGAGCGGUGGCACGCCGUUAGAGGCGAUUAGAGAGUGAGGGGGUUCGUGACGCCACUCGCGGUGGCACACUACUAGAGGGGAGUAGAGAGUGAGGGGGCUGGUCGGGGAGCUUCACCAUUACUCUAGGAAGCUAUGGUGGAGCUUGACCAGGCGAAGGGUGGCUGUGAUGGCCGGACCAUGGUGGCCGGGGCUCGGGUGACAAUGGCGGGUGUUGGCAUGCUUGGUUCAAGAGAAAUACCAGUGAAGGUGCACUUGCCAACUGGUCAUGGGUUUGCAGGGAGAACAAUCAAGGGCGGGGUGGUCUUAUAGGUGCAGGAGCGAGUGGAACUAGGCGGUGGUUGACCGCGGGCACGGGGGCACGCGCGGGCGCUGGUUGGACGUACACUGACGUGUCAUCCCCAAUCGAGCGCGUGGUGACAGCCCGUGUAGUCAUAUUCAAACGCCUAUUGGUCCCAAAUCUUGGCGAAUUUGGGCAAGAUCAUUUUGUAUGAUAUCCUCCUCUAACUUUCCUCUAUUUGUUCCUUGUGCAGAUUGAAGCUUUUCUUGGCAUGGGUGAGGAGUUGUCUUGUCCCAAAGGUUGAUCUGUCUCAAGGGCCCAAACCGAGAGGAACACUAGCGUUUUGGCCUGUCAAAAAGCUUGGUCCUAAUGCCAUCUUAUGAAAUGUUAUAAGUGGGGUAGUUCAACACAAAUUUGUCAAUUGGAGUCCACGGUUUUGAGGCUUAUAAGCUAAUAAACAUUGGAGGUUUAGUUAGAGGGGCUGAUUUUCAGCAAUUAGAAAAUUCUGAUUUUUAUUUACUUCUCCCACUUGUGUGACUUAUUAUGUGGGUUUUGCAAAAACUUUUUGGGGUACCUCCCUCACUAACUUUUGUGUAUUUUGGUGUGCUAUAACUUUUGUAAAUGGUCCAAGCCAUGAUAGUGUGAUCCAUAUAGCUUUCUCACUUGAUUUCUUUUGGGUGCUCCAUUUGCUUAAAGGUGGGAAAAAUUAGGGUUUGUUUACAUUCUCCCCUUUGAUGAGCAUGAGGUGGCUAAGAUAUGUCUUCUAAGAUGAUUUAUACUUAAUUAGGAUUUUGGCUCUCAAGUUUCGUGUUUUUGCUCAAACUAAUCCACAUGAGAUAAUGGGGUUCUGGUGAAAGUGUUGAGUAGAAACCCUCAGUAACACAUGGGGUGUUACAUCCCUCCCCUUUAAAAAAACCUUGUCCUGAGAUUUGUGUGAAGACCCUCAAGGGUGAGGAGGCAGGUAACCUACUACCUAAACAGGGAUAGUAUAUCCACUAAAUCAUUUUGAAAGCUUGUUCUUCGAAUGUCAUCCUCUUUGCCACUUCAGAAGGAAGCCCUAUUGUACUUAGUCAGACGAUCUACCGUUCAUCUUAUCAAGGGAACAUCAUUAUAUCUUGAGACAAAAGGCAAAGAUCACUGGAGGUUAUGGUUAUGUACCAACAUCCUUAGGUAGAAAUUCAGGGUAGUUCUUGUUUAGAUAAUCCUCGGUUUCCCAUGUGGCUUCUUCCUCAGUGUGGUUACUCAAUUUGAUCUUAUACAUCCUGAUUGUCUUCUUGCGAGUGGAUGUUUCCUUGCAAUCUAAGAUCUUGACUAGGUGUUCCUUGUACGUUAGGUCGGGCUCUAUUUCCAUUUCAGGCUCAAUCAAGACUUUUGUCGGUACCCAAACACACUUCUUCAGUUGAGACAUGUGGAACACAACAUGUAUUGCAGACAUAUUAGAUGGUAGCUUUAGCUUAUAAGCUACUGGUCAACAUGCUUAUGUGAUCUCAUAAGGUCCAAUAUAGCGAGGGGCUAAUUUCCCUUAAUUCCAAACCUUUGCACACCUAUAGUGGGUGAGACUUUGAGGUACACAUGAUCCCCACUUCAAACUGUAUAUGUUUUCUUGUUUUAUCAUGGUAGCUCUUUUGCCUGGCUUGAGCAGCUUCUAAAUUACUUUUGAUUAUCUUAACUUUUUCUUCAGCUUCGGUAACCAAUUUUGGUCCAAAGAUUUCUCUUUCUCCUACCUGCGACCAAUUGAGGGGUGUUCGACACCUCCUUCCAUAGAAGGCUUCGAAGGGUGCCAUCUUCAAACUCGCCUGAUAACUAUUAUUGUAAGAGAAUUUUGCUAAUGAAAGGCACUUGUCCCAAUUCUUAUCAUAGUAGAUCAUAGAGGCUCUUAACAUACCUUCAAGAAUUUGAUUCACUCUUUCUGUUUGGCCAUCAGUCUGAGGAUGGUAUGCUGAACUUCUUAUCAGUUUGGUGCCCAGUGAGUCAUGUAGAUGCUCCCAAAAUCGUGCUACAAAUUGAGCUCCUCGAUCUGAGAUAAUGGUCCAGGGUAUUCUAUGUAAAGACACUAUCCGGUCGAUGUACAACUCUGCAUAUCUCUUAGUGGGGAAUGUCGUGUGCAUGAGAAGAAAAUGAUCUACUUUAGUCAAUUUAUCCACAACGACACAUAUGGAAUCAUGAUUUAGUGAAGUGCUUGGUAAUCCCAUGAUAAAGUCCAUGCUGAUAUCAUCCCAUUUCCAGGAAGAUAUUGGGAGCAGUUGCAAGGCGCUUGCUGCCUUGAGGUGACUUUCCUUGACUAUUUGACAAGUGUCGCACUCGGACACAUACUUAGCUAUUUCUCUUUUCAUACUUGUCCACUAGUAUAGGGAUUCAGGUCAUGGUACAUCUUAUUGCUCCCAGGGUGUAUGGAAAAUUUGGAGAGAUGAGCCUCAUCUAGAAUCUUCUUUCUAAGUUCCAAAUCCUUGGGAACAACAAGUCUGUCUUCGAACCACAGUGUUCCCUUACUAUCUUGGUGAAAGCACUUAUACUUUUCCUCUUUCCGGGUGAGCAUUUCCUUGAUAAUCUGCACUCCCUUAUCACUAAAUUGUGCCAUGAUGAUUUGAUCUAGCAAGGUUGGUUCGAUGGAGAUAUAAUCCAAGCUGCUAGACAGAAUUACUUCUGUGACAACCCUCCCAAGUUAUCGGGCCCACAUGCACCAAUCCUUGCAAUUAACGGCCUAAGAUGGCUAUGCACGUAUACCGUGUAACUUAACAAGGCUAUCGAUUUCAUCAACUUGAACUCAUCAUCCCAAGUAUCUCCCACAUUCAUGUAUAUUACAGUAAUCACAUUUGAUACACACACACUUUGGAGAUAGAGCGGAAGACUUUACAAACAUACUUUAUAUUUCCAAAACUCAAGUUUUACAACAUAAAAAAAUUAUAAAUAUUACAAUCUUGAUAUACUCAAAGUGCAUAACUUAUUACAAUAGCAAGAAAAAGACUCCUCAUCACCUACAACAACAUAAACCUACCUUGUCUUCCGAGCUAGUCUUCCUCCAGAACUGGAUGCGCCCUCCAGCCACAGGAACUCCUAGAAUACUCCUCAUCACCUACAACAACAUGGGUUUGAAAACCUUGAGUGCAGAGUGUACUUUCGCAAGUCUUACCCGACUAAGGAAAAAGACUCUCAAGGAUAUGCUGGAUUUGGGAAUCAAGGAAAGGCUUUUAGCAAGAAUCAAUUUUAAUAGUUUGCAGAAAAGCUUACUAAAACGAGCCCUUACUUUCAACAUUUUAAUGCUAGAUUAAGUAUUAAUAGACCUUGUUUGCAUCUAGUCUAAUUUCAUCAUCACUUUAAUCAAUACAACAUGAUUUUUGCUCAUUAUGAUUCCAUCCAUGACUUAGAUUGCAGGGCAGUGAUCAAGUCUCAAUUAUCUGAGGAUAUAACGGCGAUCCAAAUCAAUUUACCCAUCUGGGGAUCCCUAACCACAUGACAUAUAAAGCACUUAACCCUUGCAUAUGCCAACCCGCACCCUGCUAUCUCAAGACCAGACCGGGUUCAUGCCAACCGAGAGCACAGCUACUCCACUGUCCAACCUCUUGCCACUGCUACUCACUUAACGCUACUCUCGCCAUCUCUCCACUCCCAUUGCGUGGUUGCCUUUCUAGUAUUGGUCAAGCUAAUAUUAGGCUUACCCUGUCCCAUACCAGGACAUGUGGCUAGUUAAUAUAGUCCUCGAUCAUCAAGCCUACAUUCCCUAUAAUCCUUAAUCAACCUGUGCAGAACAUCACCUGUUCCUAGCCCAAGUCUUGAUUUAAGUACUUUCCUCCUUCAGACAUAUUUGUGUACCUUAGGAUGAUUAAAACAUCACAGGGAACCUUGCUUUAGAUCUCCCCAUGAUCCCGAUGAAAAUAUUCUUGUAGGUAGAGGCAUCCUUCCUUAGGAUAAACCCUGAGCUAGGCAUUAGUGCAAAGGACAAACUCUAUCUGCAAGAUUUACCUCUAGACAGGGCUAAGCAAUUUUUGUAAACAAUGAUACUUCCAAAGAAGUAUCUAUAACAGGAAUGGAUAUCAAGGUAGUCAAUGUAUCAAAUAGUUUCCAAGAAACUCCUAUGAACUUAAUGCACAUUUCACUAGACUUAAAGUGCAUAGAAGUCUUUUAAAAAUACAAGAAAGGGGUUGCAUGCACUGGGGCUUGCCUUUGUUGCAGUGAAGAGGUCUAGAUCCCUCUACAAGCUACCUAGUUAGAUGGCUCCUCCACUUGAUCAGCAGCCACUGGAGUAGAUUCCUCUUCAGUCACCACUUCAGCUUGAAUCUUCACUCCUGCUGGGAGUUCUACAUGAAAUAACAUGGUCAUGGAUGUUUAUGCUUAUGCAGUUACAAAGCGGAUAACACCUAAACCCUCUUGUACAUGUCCCUUAAACUCAUCAUUUUCUAUAGCACCAGACCAACUUAGUUGGCCAAGCCUGCUCCCAAACCAUAGCACUAACAGUUUGCUACAUCAGUCCAAUGUCAAAAUCGUACAAAACACAAGCUAUGGUGCACCAAAACAUAGCAAAAACACUGAAACAUUCCAAUUUUAGAAGUCCGAAACAACACAUGUUUAAUCUGACAAAGAGUUUUUCAACUCCUUUUUCUCUAAAUUCUUUACAGUAGCAAGCCAACUCUCUGUAUGACACUUUCUCUCCUUGACAUGGUCUUUCACUUUGCUAUAGCAUUCCUACCCCAAUUCUUCUUGGAUUAAUUACCACAAGGACCCGAAUUUGAAUAAAAACACACAAAUUCAGACUUAAAUAUUAUUCUAAGUCUGAAUCCCAACACCUGAAAGUCUACCUUUUGGCCACUUUUACUCCCAAAUUUAUGUGGAUCCAAGUCCACCUCACUUUAUAAAACUUGCUAUCUUUACUAUGGUCUCUAGCUUUGCUAUGAAAACUUUAAUCCAAAACCCCAUGAAUCAGUCACAAAUGAAUUCCAAACUAGGCAUCCUGCUGCAAUUCAAUUCUCAACUGAAUAACAAAAUUCAGUUAUGUCCAGCCUGACAGUCCAACUUUAGCCAACCUUUUCUCCAAUUUUUACAUAGCAACAAACCAAGCUCACAUUGCCAAAGUUAUUCCUUAGAUAUAGCUCUACUACUUUAGUCUAGCACCCCUAGGUUGUAAACAUUCAGAACAAUUUUUAUGAAGCACCAAAGUAGAGCCAAAACAACUGCAACCCCAUUUUUAGUGUUCUGAAUCAACAUUCAUUAAGUCUAACAGAGAAGAUUUGGACAUGUUUUACUCCCAAUUUUGUGUAGCACCUAGCCCAUCUCCCUUUAGUAAUUUUGUUCAUCUUACUACGGUCUUCAAACUUGCUACAGAACUUUUACCCAAAACCAAAUAGACUGGGCACAAUAGAGCUCCAAAGUUGAGCUCAACACACUAAAACCUAGUUUCAGCCUUCUGCACUAAGUCUGGGAUCUAGAAAGCUGACAGCCUAUCUUUGAGCGAAUUUUACACCUAGUUCCCAGCAACAGACAGUGGUAGAGUUCAAGUAGUAAAUGGUGUGAGUUUCACUGACCUGCGAGGAGUAGGGAACUGGCACCACACGGCCGAGACAACCUCCGAGGAAUCCUGGCCAUGGUGAGGGUGAGCUCGGGUGGGCAUGGUCACCAUGACACGUGAUGCACUAGACAUCAAACUUGGUGGUUGAAAGAGAGGAUGCACACCAGCAAGAAUACCAGGACUCCAACACCUUUGCAGUGGACUAGGAUUAGAGCUCGAGAACAAGGGAGAAAAGCUUUUCUAAACUCAGCCGUGGAACACAUUGAAUAAAUAGGCAUAGGGGGAGGGGUCACUGAGCUCAUCCACAAUUCAGUGCAAGAAUACAAGGGAUGUCAACACAGCAUGUUAAUUGACGUGGCUCCCAUGCACUAACUGCACACAAGUCUACACGUGCACCAAGGACACUUAAUCUGGUCUGCUCUAACAUCCCCAAAAUAUCCACUCUUUGCUUCAGCAAGCAGAUAGGAGAGGAAGUAGAUGAGACCCCAACGGUGGUUGUACUAUGGCCCAGGGCUUGAUAUUAUCUGCAGGGGUGAGACCACUAGAAUUUCCAUUAUUUAAUUCACUCAUUCAAUAGCUAGCAGAUAAACCUUCACUUGCUUACUGCUCUCAAAACAGUCCAACUUAGAUAUUUUCCCAGAAGCAAAUUAAGCCCCUAGACCUUCAGUCACACACUACAACCUUAUCCCCACUUAGAUACAUAAGUGACAUCAACAGGGUCGAGGUGAUCUUCUUCAGAACCCUAGUGCAACACUGAUCCCUCUCCAUCAGCACUGUUGUUCCAUCUGCACACCUCCCUGUUGACCCCUGCAAUCUCUUAGCUUCUCAUAGCAAUAGGGAGAGCAGGUUUAAUAAAACUUAUCCACCAAACAACCCUAUACCACUUGUCCACAUGGACCUUAGGCUUAAACCCCUUGGAUUAAUCACAAACAAGCUCCAAAAUCCAUAGAAAGACACUGAACCAGAACUAGAAUCACUGCAUCAGACCUACACUCUUCUUGCUUGACAGAGGUGGUUUGAGCACCCUUUAUCUCUCAGUUCUGUGCAACAUCAAGCCCCCUUACUUCAAGGAAUUUGUUCAUCCAACACAGUACUACCAGCUUGUUGCAGUAGGCCAAGGCCAAAUACCCAUGGAUCAAGAGUUAUGGUGCUUCAAAGUUGGGCAAACCUCACUGAAACACAGUUUCAGUUUAACUGAAACAGCACCUACAAAGUCUGAAAGACAGAGUUUGAGGGUAUUUUACUCUUAAAUUUAUAUAGCACCAAGCCAACAUCACUUAAGGGAAUUUGUUCUCCUAUAUAUGGACUUUCAGUUUUCUAGAGAACUCCUAACCCAAAUCGCCUUGCACUAAUUACCAUAGAGCUCCAAACUAGACACCCUUGUGCUGAAUUUUAGUUUACAGUGGACUAAAUACAAUUCAGUUUCAGCCACCUGACAGUCCAAAUUUGAGCAGCUGUUACUCCAAUUUUCGUAUAGGAUCAUGUCCAUCACCUUUAAAGAACAUUAUUCACCACUAUAUGGUCUUCACUUCCUCUACAAACACCUCGGCUUAAAACUUCCUAGAUCAGCCACAAAAGAACUCCAAAACAGCUCUCACAACACCGAAUUCCAGAUUCAGUCACUACUCACAAUCUGAAACAUUGGAAAUCUGAUAACCUUAUUUUGGAUCACUUUUUCUCCCAAUUUCAAUUAGAUGUAGGGGUAUGAAAUUUUGCCAGACUAGCACACCAACAUGUGGUCGUCCACUUUGGUAUAAAAACUUUAACUCAUAAUUGUAUGGAUCAGCCACCAACAGGCUCUAAAGCUGCUCCCAAAACAUAAAGCUGCAGAACCUGAUUUGUCCACUAAGUCUGAAAUUCAGAUUCUGACAUUCCACUUUUGAGCAAGCUUUAUAUCUAGUUCCAUAUGGUUUUAGGACUACCACACUUAAUACAAGUUGUUCUCCUAUAACUAUUCUACAAGUUUGCUGCAGCAACUGUUUUCAAAAUACUCACGGAUUACAAGUUAUAGGAAUUAAAAAUAGAUAAACAAAACUGUUUUGGGCUGAUUCCAAACUGACCCACAUCUGAACUUUUGCAAUUUACUUUGAAUUCUCCCACACCACAUGGAGAGCUCCAAAUAUGAAAAUUGUUCAAUUUUCUAAGCUCCAUAACUUUGGUAUAUGGAUUUUUAGCAAAACAUAGCUAGAUCUUAAAAUCCACUUUUGGGCUAGUUUAGAGUUGAAAUUGGACUUGAUCUGCUUCAAGUGUUUCAUCAAUUUAUUGCAUCCUACUAAACAAUGUUACCCUUGAGCUCAAACCCAACUUUGGUGUAUAGAGCUCAUGUCCAAAUUGCCAUUGGUUUAAAAGUUGUUUGCUUGUACAAGAUUUCGAACAAGGCCUCUAAACUUCUCUUGCUCUCUUCGAAACGACACAACCUCACCCUUUUGAAAAUUUGUUACCCUAGUGAAUGCAUUCCAAGUGUAUCAAGCAAAUUAAUGCAAGUGCAUAUGAUGACAUGCCAAAUUUUUAGUUCUCGUAAUACCAGGAGUGUUACAGCCUUCCCCCUAAAAAGAAAUCUCGUCCUGAGAUUUAAAACUCUAGGCUAGGUAAUGGAAAAGGAAAUGCGUCACAAACUUAUUUCCUAACUUCUCUUACAAGACAUGGGAGGUGUUCUGUAUUGCUUAACCAUGAGUUAACCACGCGAUGUCGUUCAACAUUCGCAUCCGUCUCAUAUGCUAUAGACUUUCAAUGAUGAUUUGGCAAUAAACCUUUUUCUGUGUGUUUUACCCAAGAGGUUGCAUCUAACUUGUUUUGGAUAACGUCUAUUCAUUUCUCCAUUACUCGUUCAACAAACUCACAUGGGAAAUCACAGUGGUACCAUUUCAUCACAAAACACAACCAGAAACUAUGGUACCAGCGUGUGCCAAGUAGUUCAUCCAUGUAUAUACAUCCAUAGGGAACCUUGGGUAUAUUCAUCUGAUACCCAUGUGGUAAGAACAAAUAAGGAGAAAACCAAUAACACACUUAUCAACAGGAACAUCCAUUUUAACCUUUGGAAUUUGGCAAACCACUACAGACAUCCAAAAGUUGCCAUGAAACAGGCAGUUCUUUUCCUACAUCAUAGCCAUAGGCAAGCUCACAGGUUACCUGAUCCAGGUGAAACAGGAAAAACUCUUUACAACAAAGUUUAACCUGUUUUUACUAGCUAACAUUGCCAUAUUGGUCUACCUUACAUCUACCUUUCAAGACUAAUUUACAUAGUUAUAUUGCCUGACAAGAACUAAGUUGCCUGCUACAUCUUCUCCAUUUAUCACAUCUGCUAGAUGCAUGUUGCCUUUUUCGAUUGGAACCCUCUAGUCCACUGGUGUUGGGGCAGAAUAAAAGGCAAUGUUGAGCAUAUGCACCGUUUGUUGCAGAUGGUUGAUCAGUCGCUGCGCUGUUUGAAAUUUCACCGGAUAGAUACGAUGCAACUUCUCAAGCACCUGAUCCUGCUGACUUAGGAAGCCCAUGGUUUCCUUAAGUUCUUCCCUAACAGUAACGCAUACGAGUGAGUGUCUUCUUAUUGCUAAAUCAAAACUCUAGAUUUAGAAUGAGCAUUAGUGAGCUGAUGCUCAAGCUCCUUGAUGUGAUUCUGAUCAGCUUGGUGUUGUGCCUGCAGUUCUGCUACCUGAUGCUCUAACCUAACAAUUCGCUCAGCUUGAACCUUUGUUUCUUCAAGCCGCUCUUGUGCUCGGGAACAAGCCCUAUUUUUGCCAUUUCCAUCAUCUUAAACGCUGGAUAACUCCCAGUGUACAACUGCUGUCACAUUUGAUGAUUGUGCCCUCGAGUAAGCUGCAACUCUAGCACGACCAUCAAAACUCGAGCAGAUGCCGAUUCAAUAGAAUCCUGCCCAAUAGGAAUGCUUUCCAUCAAUCGGGCCUGGUGAUUAUACACAACUACUUAGGGCAACUGCAGGGAACAACCUCAUCGAUGUGGCCUGUAUUUCUUCCCAUUUCUGGUAACAGAUGGUUGUCAACACCUCUAAGGCAGCUACCUGAGCACCUUCCCAAGGAGUCAUUCCUUCAACAUGGAACAUCCAAUGUGGCCAAGAUGGCUUUCUAGGACGUUCUGGAAUAUGCACUGCUACCUCAUACCAUGGUUGUCCUCUAAGAACAGUGUGUGACCACUUGUACUUUGGUGCUUUGGUAUACCCAACUUUUUGAAGUAGUCGCCACAGGACCAUUGGAACACCAAAAUAUUGUAGAAACUCUCCAACUCCUGUAGGUGCUUCUUGUUGAUCCAUCUAUAGAGAAGAGCAACAUAUACACUCUAUUUACUAAUGAUGUAUGAACAGGGUAGAUGAAACACGUACUAGAAUAACUACACAGGGGGUUUAACGUAAAGUUGUAUGACAUGAUGCAUGCUCGUCCUAUUCGUCCUUGCAACUCUUGCCAACAUAUAGUGGCUAUCACGUUCUAUGGCGGUGGCAAUCCUACUCACUCCAUCAUUGAACACUAGUCGCACUUUCCUAGGGUUUAGUUAGUGUACCUACAAAAAAUUGAAUUAUAGUUGUGGGUUAGUCGUUAGCAUCCUAAACUAGGCCACCUUAUAGUCCUUAGUUUUAACCAUAUACUAUUUGCACUUCUACUAUCAGGAUUUGCUUAUUCAUUCUUACAUUUUCCAAAAUAAUUUGGGCUCAAAAUCCUUUUGAAGCUUAUCAAAGGAUUACUUUAAUAUCCAUGCUAGUGGGGGAUCGCUCCGAUACCACUCUGUGAUAGCCCUCCCAUGUUAUCUUGCCCACACACACCAAUCCUUGCCAUUAACGACCUCAGGUGGCUAUGCACGUGUACCGUGCAACUUAACAAGGCUUGUGAGUUCAUCAACUUGAACUCAUCAUUCCAAGGAUCUCCCACAUUAUUGUAUAUUACAGUAAUCACAUUCGAUACACACACAUUUUGGAGAUAGAGCGGAAGACUUAACAAACAUACUUUAUAUUUCCAAAUCUCAAGUUUUACAACAUAAAAAAAUAUAAAUAUUACAAGUCCUAAUAUACUCAAAGUGCAUAACUUAUUACAAUAGCAGGAAGGUCAGAACUCUCCAAAGCGCAACUUAUUACAAUAGCAGGAAGGUCAGAACUCUCCAAAGCGCAUACAUAAACCUAGCUAGUCCUCCUCCAGAACUAGAUGCGCCCUCUAGCCACAGGAACUCCUAGAAUACUCCUCAUCACCUACAAAAACAUGGGUACAAAAACCCUAAGUACGGAGUGUACUUUCGCAAGUCUUACCUGACUAAGGAAAAAGACUCUCAAGGAUAUGCUGGAUUUGGGAAUCAAGGAAAGGCUUUUAGCAAGAAUCAACUUUAAUAGUUUGCAGAUAAGCUUACUAAAAUGAGUCCUAAAUUUCAGUGCUAGAUUAAGUAUUAAUAGAUCUUGUUUGCAUCUUGUCUAAUUUCAUCAUCACACUAAUCAAUACAACAUGAUUUUUGCUCAUUAUGAUUCCAUCCAUGACUUUGAUUGCAGGGCACUAAUCAAGUCUCCAUUAUUUGAGGAUAUAACGGCGAUUCGAAUCGAUUUACCCAGCUGGGGAUCCCUAACCACACGACAUAUGUAGCACUUAACCCUUGCAUAUGCCAACCCGCCCCCUGCUAUCUCAAGACCAGACCGGGUUCAUGCCAACCGAGAGCACAGAUACUCCACCGUCCAGCCUCUUUGCCAUGGAGGGAACAUGCUACUCUCACCAUCUCUCCACACCCAUUGCGUGGUAGCCUUUCUGGUAUUGGUCAAGCUGAGAUUAGGCUUACCCUGUCCCAUACCAGGACAUGUGGCUAGUGUGAUGGAACCUCCCAAGGUAUUAGACCCAUCUACAGUUGUCCUUGUCCUAAGGACCAUGGACAAACCUGUAGAUGCACAUAAUCACUCGACAAGUUCGGUAAUUGUAUCCUCAUCAUUUCACCCAAGAGCGCUUCACCCGUCACGUAGAUAUUACAUCACAUCGGAGGAAAGCAUAAGCGGAAGCAAAUUACAAUAACUUAAUUUUACAUUCAUAAAAUAUAUAGAGAGAGUAUUAUUAUUACAAUACCAGGGUAUUAAGAGUGUGUAAAGUAUUAUUACAAUCCAGGGAGGCAAAACACCCUCCCGCAUAAAAGUUUAUUGUUUUUAAGGUGGGAGGCAAACAUCCUCCCACGAACAUCUUCACUGCUGGGGCUCCUCCUUGGGUACCACCUUUGAACAGAAACAACAAAACUCUGUUGUUUCCUCACCUACAACAACAUGGGUUCGAAAACCCUGAGUACGGAGUGUACUUUCGCAAGUCUUACCCGACAAAAGAAAAAGACUCUCAAGGAUAUGCUAUCUUGAGGGAGUCAAGGUAAGGCUUAAUCGAGAAUCAAAGACUCUGUUUGCAAAAAUUCUUACUAUCAGUGGGUCCUUCAAAGUCCAUUUUUAUUGUCAAGUUAAGUCAUUACCUGUAGAGUUCUUUCUACCCUAGUUCAAGCACUUUGCCUACACUAGCUGUCUUUUACCAACCCUUCAUUUCACUGGAUUGCUACGUGUAGGGCAGUCACCAAGUGUUCAUAUCCGAGAAGUAACGACUAUCCGAAUCGAUUAAUACCCAGCUGGGGAUCUCCAUCCACACGACAUAUGUAGCACUUAACCCUUGCAUAUGUCAACUCGCCAACGGGUUUCUCAAGACUAGACCGGGAUCAUGCCAACCGAGAGCACAGAUACACCACCGUCCAGCCUCUUGCCACGGAUGGUACACACUACUCUUGCCAUCUCUCCACUCCCAUUGCGUGUUGGCCUUUUUGGUAUUGGUCUGCCCGAGGCAAAGCUUACCCAUGAUGAGGCAUGUGGCCAGUUAAAAGGUCCUCAAUCAUCAAGCCUAGAUCGGUAUGGUCCUUAAUCGACUUAGAUGGAGACACUACACCGAGAUUUCCUUCUCAUGCAAGUCACCCGCCCGGUCUCAGCUUUAUUAUUUAAAACCCAAAGUUUGGUACCAAGCAGAGGUACAUCUUUUCAGAUGUUGAACCCAUCAUGGCCAUGAUGGAUUCACCAUCAAAAGUAUUUUCUUUGUAAAAAUUCCCAUCCACUGUGAAGCAUCACCUUUUGUUUUAAAACAAAACAUUUUAGUUUUCUAGAGCAAUACUAAGCAUCAGAAAACUUUUUAACAAAACAAGUAAUCAAGGAAUGGUAAUCAAUUCCACGGAAGGAAUGCAGCAAUUGUUUAUCACUCAACUCCUAUCACCUAAUGCAUUAUUUCAAGUGAUAAAGAGUUUAAAACAGCAAGGAAGGGUAAAGGCACCGGGGCUUGCCUUGUGUUGUAGGGGAUUCGGGAUCUGUUCCACAGAUAUCAAAAUAAAAACUAUUCCUGGCAGGUGGAGUCUCAAUUGGUGGUGCAAUUUCUUCUUCUUCGACAAUACUUCUUCUUCGUUUUCUAUACAUAACCAUACAUAUACAUGAAUGCUCAUGUGAUGCUAUGAAUAUGCAGUUAUAAAAGAGAUACAUCAAGUUGUAUCUUGAAUACAACUUUCCUUAAUGGUACACCUGGGUAGCUAGGGUUUUCCGAGUUAGUAAUCCAUUAGGAUAAGGCAAAUAUUACCUUAGAAAGCUAGGGUUUUGGGUUUCGGAUCAAACAAUAUCCAAAAUAUGCUAAACUUUACCCAAGGGCUCUAAUUAUCAUUUAAGCUUGCCCAAAAAGUUUUAUGAUUUUUGGAGCUAGUAAUCAAAUUCUAAAAUUCUAAAAGACAAGCUUUAGGCAUUGUUAAUUGCUAAAUAAUUCCUGGUUGGGAUUAAAAAUUUUGGACAUAUUUUUAUUAAAUACUAGAGGAAAUUAGGAUUCUAGUAAAAUUGGUCCCAUGAUUUUAUCAUUUUUGUAUAAUUUUCUAUAAAUUUCCUAAGUCUGGUAGAAAAAGAAAAAGUAAAGGAAUGAAUAGUAACAGGCUCAAACCAGCCCGAACCAGCCCAAGAACGGGGAAACGCGCCUGCUCGCGCCCGCGAUGUCCAAUUUGCGCAGAGGACCCUAGCUGUUUGAAUAACCGGUUAUGAACCAUUGCGCACUAUUCAUCUGUGUCUCUGACAUUCACAGUUAGGCCCCUGUAGUUCUGUUUCUUCGCAGCGCCAAGUCCACGACGGUGAAUGGCGAUGAGCAUGCAUCCAGCGAACUUGUGCUGGCCGAAACACGCAAUGGCUAGUGCCCUAACUCGGCUAACACCAAAUCCUACCCCAGGCGACCCUAAUCCCUCCAUCAAUUUCACAAAUCCGGCUCAGAUUUUGUCUGCUCACGACGGCGGUGAAAACUGGAGACAAACCGAGGUGUUCUUGGUCAUUUAGUGAGGUCUAACUCAAUCAAAUGGGUCUACGAGCAACAGGAGGCUUGAGGGAGGCUAGAACAUCAAGCAGAGAAGCUUGAACUCACCUGCAGAGAGCUGGCCACGACGAAGGGUUCACGGUGGCACGGAAAAUGGAUUUGGGGGAAAUGCGAAAUUGGGAGGCUCUAGUGAACGAUCAGAGGCGAGAGCUAGUGCAUUGGGUGCAUAAUAACCUAGCGGAGCUCACUGGAGCAUCAAUUUAUAGAAUCAAUCAGCGGUGGUGUCCAAUUUGGAGAAGGCGCGCUAGCGGCCUGAGAGAGGGGAAGUUCCCUGGCGCGGGUUACCGUGGCAUUCACUGGAGAAAUGAGUCAGCCGAUAGACAGGCUAUCUAUAGCAACCAAUUGCAACAUGGCAACAAGGUAGGAGCAUGGCAUGCUCGGGUUAACGGUGGUCAUUACCGCGACGGUCGUGCGGCCACGUCGCGGCGCAAGUGGAUGAGGUGACAGAGUGGCCACAGUGCUCCGACUUCAUCCCGUGCGAAAGAUCUUUCACCCCGAGUCGUUAUCCGAACACCAAGGGCGCGAAUCACAGCGCCAGCGUGAAUCCGAGCGCGGGGUCACCGGCGGCGAGCUGCACUGCACAUGAAGAUCUUUUUCAGUAUUGUACCAUGGGAAACUUCUUAAGUGCGCCUGAAAGAGCAAGUUUAAGAGCUUGGUUCUCCAAUUUUUGUGUCGCAACUUGUUAAUCUAUCCAUAAAAUAGUUGUUGUCCUAUAAUCCAACUUUAAUUUUGUUAUAGUAAUCAUAAUCAAAUAAUCACUGGAUCCUACUCAAAUUUGAUCUCAAAGCUCUGCCAAGGUCACUGGUGGUCAUAAUUCAGUCAUUAGUGGUGAUUGACGGUCCAUCUUUAGGCCGGUUUAUCUCCAAUUUUUAUACAACAUCAAAGCUCAACUAAUUGAGCAAAGUUGUACUCUUAUCAUAGCUCUACAAGUUUGAUGUAUUGGCUUAGGGAAAAUCCUCAUGAAUUGAGAGAUACAAGAUUCCAAAGUUGGCUCAAUUUCACUGAAUUUCAGACUUAGCCACAUAGUGCUCAUGUGACCCUUUUGCAAUUAAGUCCAAACUUCAUCAUACAACUUGAAAAUUCUCCAAUGUGAAAGUUACUUGGUUUUUAUGUUCUAUCACUUUGAUAUUUGCACUUUGGUCCAAAAGUGAAUAGAAUUUAAAUUCUCCCCCUAGGGUUCCGAUUAUGGUUUUCUAAGGUUUGUUUUUAGGGUUUGGGCACACUAGGGUUUUUGUGCCACUAAAGUUCACCAAAUUUGAUAUCUUGUGAACAUUUCUAAUGUCUUUUGAGAUUUUACUCAUUUUGGCUUUACUUUCAUCCAUAGGCCCUAAUUCCAGGGUUAAGUACCCUACCUUAGUAUUAAGUACACCUUAAGUCACAUCAUCACAACUUGUUUUCAAAUUUUACCUAGUGAAUGCAUUCUAUGUGUAACAAACAACAUGAAAUGCCAAUGCACAUGAUGUUAUGCUCAAGUUUUAGUGCCAAUAACACCAGGGGUGUUACAUCCUUCCCCCCAUAAAAGAAUCUCGUCCGGAGAUUUAAGGUCCUAGGGUAAGUAAUGGAAAAGGAAACACGUCACAUCUUUAUUUCCUUAUUUGUCUUACAGAGCAGAGGGUGGUAUGGGGUUGAUUCCACCUUUACAAUCAGAUACACACAGUUUACAAGUUACAUGGAGUUAAGAACCUGGAAAAUUCUUUUCCAAGAAAUCUUGAGUCUCUCAGGCAGCUUCAUCUUCGGUGUGCCGGUUCCAUUGUACCUUAUUGAAUUUAAGAGUCUUUUUUCGGGUGAUCCUGUCCUUCUAAUCCAAAACUCGAAUGGGAUAUUCUAAAUAAGUCAAAUCUGGUUCCAAAGCAACAUCCACUACAUCGAUGGUUCGAUCAGGAAUCCGAAGGCACUUCUUCAGUUGAGAUACAUGGAACACAUUAUGUACUGCAGACAAUGUUUUUGGCAGUUGAAGUCGGUAUGCCACUGGUCCGUAUCGUUCAAGAAUAAGAAAUGGACUAAUAUACCGGGGUGCCAGUUUCCCUUUUACCCUGAAAUGGUUCACACCCUUCAUUGGUGAUACUUUCAGGUAUACAUGAUCAUUAACUUGAAAGACCAAAGGUUGGCGUCGCUUAUCCGCAUAAUGCUUUUGUCGAGCUUGUGCCUCUUUCAAGUUGUGUAUGAUUCGUUGGACUUUUUCUUCCAUCUCUUUAACCAUGUCGGGCAUGAAAAACCAUCGUUCUCCUGGUUUAGACCAAUUUAAGGGUGUAUGGCACCGUCGCCUGUACAGUGCUUCAAAUGGUGCCAUUUUAAUGCUCUCUUUAUAGCUGUUAUUAUAAGAAAACUCUGCCAAUGGCAGACAAUCAUCCCAUUUUUUGUGGAAACUCCAAGACACAUGCCCACAACAUAUCUUCAAGUAUCUGAUUUACUCGCUCAGUUUGUCCACUUGUUUGAGGAUGAUAGGCUGAACCGUGGAGCAGUUUAGUACCCAAGGAUUUAUGCAGUUCACUCCAAAAUUUGGAAACAAAUUGUGGUCCACGGUCCGACACUAUCGUUUUUAGAACUCCAUGUAAACUGAGAAUACGGGCAAUAUAUAUCUAGGCAUAGGUAAUGAUCGGGUAAUAUGUCUUGACUUAUAGAAAAUGGGCUAUUUUUGUAAGCCGAUCAAUUAUAACCCAGAUAGAGUCAAAACCUUUGGCUGUUUUGGGCAAUCCCACAAUGAAAUCCAUACAAAUAUCUUCCCAUUUCCAUGUUGGGAUGGGCAAGGAUUGUAAUGGUCCAACGGUCUUCAUAUGCACUGCCUUGACACGUCUACAGGUGUCACAUCUUGCCACAUAGCGUGCAAUCUCAAUCUUCAUUUUUGUCCACCAAUAGUGUUGCUUGAAGUCUUGAUACAUUUUAGUAAUUCCGGGAUGAAUGGAAUAUCGACUAAGAUGAGCUUCAUCCAAAAUUUGUUAGCGGACUUGAGCACCUUUAGGCACAACUAUGCGAUCAUUAAACCAUAUUAUUCCUUGAUCAUCUUUCCUAAAGCAAUUUGCUUUGCCGACCUCUAUUUUCUCAUGAAUAUGCUUCAUACCCUUGUCGGUUCUUUGUGCAUCAAAAAUUCUCUGUAGAAGAACUAACUCAAGCUUCAAUUUUGUCAAGGUUCAGUGUUGUAUCAUCCCCAGAUUUAGCUUUCCAUUUCUUGACAUAGUGUGGUGUCAGGGGUCCUUAUGUAAGACAAUGGCAGGAAGCUUUGCGACUCAGUGCAUCUGCCACCACAUUGGCUUUUCCUGGGUGAUAGUGGAUUUCCAAGUCAUAAUCUUUAAUUAGCUCAAGCCAUCUUCUCUGCCUCAUGUUCAGUUCUGACUGGGUAAAGAUAUAUUUUAGGCUUUUGUGAUCUGUGUAUAAAUGACAAGUAUUUCCCAACAGAUAAUGACGCCAUAUUUUAAGGGCAUGAACAACUGCAGUUAGUUCCAAAUCAUGAGUUGGAUAGUGCUCCUCAUGACGGUGUAGUUGUCUUGAAGCAUAAGCUAUGAUUCGGCCCUCUUACAUUAAGACACAUCCGAGUCCACUGCCUGAUGCAUCACAAUACACAUCAAAAGGCUUUUCUAUGUCUAGUUGAGCCAAUACCGGAGCAGUGGAUAAUAGCACCUUCAGUUGCUCGAAGGCUUCAUUGCAUUUUGAGGACCAGUCAAACUUUGUAUCAUUCUUCAAUAAACCCAUAAUAGGUUUAACAAUCUUGGAGAAAUCCGGAAUGAACCUGCGGUAAUAUCCAGCCAGUCCAAGGAAGCUUCGAACUUGAUGUACUGUAGUAGGCGAUUUCCAUUCUAGAAUAUCCUUGACCUUGCUGCGAUCGACCGCAAUCCCUUUUGCAGAUAAUACAUGUCCAAGAAACUAGAUUUCCUCCAACCAGAACGUGCAUUUGCUGAACUUAGCAUACAACUGGUGCUCCCUUAAGCGCGUUAGCACGAUCCGUAAGUGCUUAGCAUGCUCCUCUUCAUUUUUGGAAUAAAUCAGGAUGUCAUCAAUGAAGACCACCACAAAUCUAUCUAACUCGGGCAUAAAUACCGAGUUCAUUAAAUACGUGAAGUGGGCUGGAGCAUAUGUUAAUCCGAAAGACAUAACCAAAUAUUCAAAUAAUCCAUACCGCGUAGUAAACGCGAUCUUGGGUAUAUCUUCGGGUCGAAUAUGGAUAUGAUGAUAGCCUGACCGGAGGUCAAUCUUGGAGAAUACCCGAGCUCCAGUAAGUUGAUCGAACAAGAUAUCAAUCCGAGGAAGAGGGUACUUGUUCUUGAUGGUGACCUCAUUAAGGGGUCUAUAGUCCACACACAUUCGUAAUGUCUGAUCCUUCUUCUUGACGAAAAUUGCGGACAUCCCCAUGGUGAUGAACUGGGCCUAAUGAACCCCUUCUCAGGUCCUUGAUUUGAUCUUUCACCUCCAAACCGCUUUGAUUUUCCAUGUCCUGCAUUUUUAGCUUCCACUACUAGUGCUGUACUGACAGCCAUACUGUAGGUAAGGUCCAAGCAUGUUGCCAUUUUCCACUGAAGCCUGUCAUUGAGUCCCCUCAUAAAACAAUUCUUCUUUUUCAGAUCUGUAUUCACAUGGUCAAUGGCAUACUGGGAAAGGUGGUUAAAUUUAUUGAGAUACUGCAUUACAGUAUCUUGUCACACCCGGAUUUAAGGGAUAAAGCCGGGUGCAUCUCAUACAUGCGCCAAAGAAGACACCAUGUAUAAUAACAUAGUGUAUAAAGAUAAAUGUCACAAAAUAAUCAGAGUACUUAUUACAUAGCGGAAGUCUUACAAAAUAAAAGAUAAAUAUAGAUCGAACUAAAAUCCAUCCUUGGCGCCAGAAAGUCAACUGGGAGACGCCACCUAGAUCGAAUCGAACUCCUCGAUGUGUGGCUCCACUUGAACCACCUGUUCUUCUCCAUUGAGGGGGUGUGAGACAUCAAGGGUGAGCUCACACAUGUUCAUCGCUCAACAAGUUGUGGGGAAUAAUGUGCAUGAACUCACCAAAGGUGGGAGUUCAUGUGAAGUGUAAGGCUGAUCAACAAAAUAAAGGCUGAAGCUGAGCAUUGCUUUUAUAAGUUGGUCAAAAUUUUAUUAGCAAUUACUAAGUAUAAGUAAAUACCAAACCAUAAUAAAUAAUAGAACAAAAUUAAUAAAUAAUCCCUUGCAAAUGCAAAUGACAAAUUGAAUUUAGGUUACAUAAAUUAAUCAUGUGAGGGUCCGAGCUGCUCAUGACCGUGAGCACGGCUAGUAUACCAGUUUUACACUCUGUAGAGGUUGCACAUCUUUACCCACAAGUCAUGUUACCCAUCUGCCAAGGGGUCAUCAAUCCCAUACACCUCUACCAAGGAAGCGAGGCAGGGUAACACUACGAGACCUUUACAAAGUUCCACUAGCUUCAAAAAACCCGCUAAAGUUUCUAGGAAGCUCCAAUGCAAGGAUCGCUCGCCUGAUCGCCAUCAUAGCAAAAUCAACCCAAGGACCUCCCUACACUGACCACUCCCCUACUGCCCUUGCCCCUUUUGGGUAAGGUAGUCAUCCACUAGCUUUCCUAAUUAGUCAGCCAAGGGCAUCCCAUACUACCCUUAUGGUAGCACUGUUUUCCCGGGUGGUUCUCCAUGUUCCCAUUAACAUAAUGAUCUUACCAUGAACAUAAAUAACAUAACAGAAUAAUAGGAAUAUGUAUGUAAUGAAAUAUUAACCCAAAAACCAUGUAAAGCAAUAGCAUAACUACCCAAUGAUUCAGGGGUAAACAAGGUAAAAAGAUAAAUUGUCUAGGGUGACCUAUUGGGUCCCAUCAAAAUUAAACCUAUGCAUGAAUGGUGGUAAUAAAGAAUAUUAUUGGGUAACAAAAGUGGAUCAAGGGCACAACUUGUCUGUCACUUGAGAUUCCAGGUACCAGGAUGAUCUUCAGAUCCUCGUGACCACACUGCUAGUCGUAGCGAUACAAACAGUCAUGGUAUAGACAAAAUUAACAUCACAACAAACAUAAGAACAUACUGCAUAAUAAUGAUCUACGCGUUGCUAUGAGAUCGUGAGAACGAGAACCACUAAGAUCGGAGUUACGAUUAAGGAGUUAUGAUUUAUAAAAGCUCUACGUGAUUUAAAUAUUAAACCAUAUUAUAAAUUGGUUAGUAUAAAUCAUAUGAGAGGUUAUUCUAUAAAUAAUUAUCUCAACUUUAAUAUAAGUUAUAUAUUGGCCAUAGAUUAUAUUCCAGUAGAUUAUAAUGAUAAGUAGUUUAACGAGACUAACCAACAUAAGUUAAAAAAAGAUCUAAUUAUAAAAGAAUGAGACAUGGUACAAUAAAUGUUGUUAUUGCAUAGUAAAUAUUCAUAUGAAGCUAACACAACUAGAAUAGUUCAAUUCGGAGUUAAAAUGGGGAAGUUAAUAAUUUCCCAAGUUUUUAUGUAUUUGAUAUAAGAUUAAUUUGGGAAUCAAUUUUAUUAUUGUUUUUAUGUCAAAACAGAGACGCUAGGUGAUAGAUAAUAUUAUUACAAAAUUAUAGAAACAAGAAUGGAUCAUUUUGGACUUGAUAUGACCUUUCUAGGAAUUAAUCAAGUUUCUAUAAUUAUUUUUGUAUAAAAAAUCAUUUUCUUCAUUAAUUUCUAUAAUUUUCCCUAUUCACUGGACUGCGCACGAAGUACCAGAAAGCUCCGGGGUAAAAUUAUAAAACGUCUACAGACUCAGAUCACCACCUUCAGGACUGCGGGUUGAUUUGGAUAUUGCUCAGGGUCUCUUAUGCAUUUUUAGUCAGCCGAAAGGGUAUGGUUAAGUCCUAGCCGCCCGAUCAAGCACGAGCGGCGCGGAUUAGAUUAGCUUUUUAAUGAAUCAGGACGCAACCUGAGAAGUCGGAUCUGUGAUCCACGAUCAACAUUCACCCAACCCGAGAUCUAAUCGCCGCUAUUGGAUUCAAUGCCGACGGUCCGGAUCUCGCUGAACGAAAGGGUACUUCACUUCUAAUCGCGGCCCACAAUCAUAGAUCCAACGGUGCCCGUGUCCUUUUAAUCAUGGCCCUACAUCCCCCAUCCUACGCUGCACGUGAGUCUUCUCCAGCCAACACCCAAUCUCGGCGACGCGCCACGCACGGCGGAACUCCCUCGCUGGAGCGCGCGCGAAUCACCACCCAGAGUUCCAAUCUUCCCAUUUGAUUCCCGAUGCAUGAAAUAGACCGUUAAGCGAGGCGAUUUGGGAAUACCUCGACAGCGCUAGGACGGCUGCGGACUCCGCCCGCGACGUGGAGAAGUUCUGCGGCGGUGGUGUUUUGACGGCGAGCAAUAGCAGUCACACCGGUCGGCCGUGCGCUCAGCGGCACCCAGGACACGAUUAGUGCCCUCGGAUAAGCGUCCCUGAAGGCUCAAGGGGCGCCCGGCGAGCGUAGGGGAGGAGAACUAGAACGGCGACCCGCGACCUUGCCAGCUGUGCCCCGCACUCCCCGGUAGAAUUGUGUUGAGGUUUCUCUGAGUUGGCGCAAUGAACGAGGGCCAGCGGGGAUCCCGUUUUUAUGGUCUGGGCGAGGGUAAGUUGUCCAGUUCGGCCUCCGAUUCCGGCGCGAUGCCGUUGGAGAUCGCCGCGGGUUCUGUUUCAGUGCGGAAGAAAGGUGCGGACAUGGUGGACCCACGUGGCAGUGACAAGCUUGCACUCGAGAUCGGCCGUUCCACGCGUGAGGGGAAGUGACUAGAAGGUGGGCCCACACGUCCUCGUCCCCCGGCUGACCCUAUGGUCCCACAUGUCGGCGCCAAUGCAACAGAUGGGCUGCGGACUAGGAUAGGUAGUGGCCCGGUUUCUUAGUUUGGGCCCAUGCGGCGUGUUAAUCUUUUUCUUUUUCUUUUAUUUUUGUAUUUCCAUUUUGAAUUCAAAUUCAAAUCUUAAAUUAAAUGCAAACAAGGUUCAGAUUUAAAGUAUAUUUAAGUGCUCAAAGAAAACUCUAAUUUGUUAUACAUGGUUUGUUUUAAUUUAUAUAUCCCUCAUUUACUUAGUCAAAUGAGAUAUUCUCAUAUUAUUUGAUUUUACAAAAUUCCAAUUCCAAGAUUUAGGAAUUCAAAUUUUUAACACAUACUCAAAAUCAAUUAUGAAGCAAUUUAUUUUAAUUGCUUUAUUUGUUUGAUAGAUGUUUGAAACAUGAGAAACACUCAUAUUGUUUUCUUUCUUUUUAGAAAAGUAGUAUUUUGAAUGUGGGGUAAGAGUAAAAGUUACUUCAAAAUUAAAUAUUCAUAUAAAUAAAUACUUAUGGUGCAUCAUUUAAUGAAAUGAAUAAUCAUUUAAUUGAAUUGAAAACCUUUCUAAUACUUCUUUUCUAAAAUAAUUCUUGGUUUUCAAAAUUCAGUUCUCAAUUUUCUACACUCAAGUCUGAUAUGGGAUAUCACUCAAGCAUAAAUUGAGAUAUCUGAAUUUGCUAUUUUGUUUUCUUCAUGUAUUUAUUUUAUUAUAUUUUUUCUUAUACAGAUUUCAAGCCUUACAUAUCUCCUCCUUGCUUUAACCGGAUAAACUCUUCUUGUCUCAUAUGGAGCACUCCCUCUGGAACAUAAUGCUCCCGAAACGCUAGCUUGAAUUCCUCUCAGGUAAUUUGAUGCCCAACAGGUUGGAUUGCUGAAAAUUUUGCCCACAAGGUACUAGCAGGCCCUCUUAGCUAUUGUGCGGCAAACAUUGGCUUUUGCGUCUCCGUACAUCGAAUUAACCCAAACUUAUGUUCCAUAACUCUCACCCAUUCAUCAGCUUCUAAAGGUUCUUCUACUUUGAUGAAGAGCGGGGGUCGAGUCUCAGAGAAUUCCAAAUAUGUAGUAUCACGCGGUCCUUGAGGUGGAGCUCUUCCUCCGUGCUGUUGGAACUAAUUGCCCGCCAUUUCACGCAAGAAGCGCGUAUUAUCAGCAGUGGCAUUGACCAGGGCAGCGAUAGCCUCGGCCAAAGUUGGUGGUACUGGUGGCGGGUUGGGAGUAUCCUCCCUACCGCGGGAAGUCCCCGCACCAUCAUGUGCGUGAGUCCGUGAUGGCAUCUGAGGCAAAGAAACAUUUGGAAAAAUAUUACAUGCCAACAUACACCAUCAUAUUACAUUACCAAAAUGUAAUAAUUAUACAGACUCUAGUGUACAACUCAACUUUAUUACUUAUUUUACAUAAGCAUAACACUUAGACUAUACUAUUCUAGUCUUCUUCAUCCUUUAUUGCUCCAUUUCCUGCUGCAGGAGACCGUUCGUCAGCAAGGUUCAUGGAAGGAGGGGGCCUAAAAAGGUCUAGCUCCCCAUCAGGUCCUCCAUUUGUUGUUCCCGAUUGUCCGGCUCCCAUUGCAGCAAUGUCUGAAGGCACGUCCGGGUGUAGUCGAGCAUACAAUACAUGCACUUCUUCAUGUAAAGUAUUAGAGUACACUUGCAGACUUUCGAGGGAUGCACUGAGCUUUGUCACACGAGCUAGAGCUUUCGCUUCGCAAUCCCAAGCGAAAGAACACGAGUUAACGACCCAAUCAAUGGUCGUAUCCCAUUCCGAGAUUUUGUACUGUAAGCGGCUGACUUCGGCUGACAAUUCCGCUAUACGGUGACUUCCUGCUCCCGUGCCCUAUUCCUAUGGUGUAACUCUGACCGGAGUUGUUCCACCCUGGCUUCCAGAUCUCCAAUUGGGUCAUUACUGCCACUACUACUUCCUUCGUGCCUGGAAGCUAGCUGAUGUCGUGGCACACCAAAAGGUCCAGUAGAUUUGCGCGUUGUUUUCGUAGUACGUGCCAUAUCUCCAUAAGAGGGGAAGAUUUAUUAGUAUAUUCUUAAACAUGAUGCAUGCAUAACCUAAUAAUUAUGGAAUCAACCUCCUUUGAUCCCCAACUUCCUAUAUAUUGCACUCUAUUACCCAACUUUACAAGAUAAGAGACUACCAGAAAGUGGUAAGGUAAGAAUGAAAGAAUAUUUCUAGGUAAGUGUUUGAAAAUUCUUUUGAAGUACUACGCAAUAUCUGAAGAGAUGGGCUUCGCUCCGAUACCAGCUGUGACGGAACCUCCCAAGGUACUAGGCCCACCUACAGUUGUCCUUGUCCUAAGGACCUUGGACAACCCUAUAGAUGCACUUAAUCCCUUGACAAGUUCGGUAAUUGUAUCGUCAUCAUUUCGCCCAAGAGCGCUUCACCCGUCACGCAGAUAUUACAUCACAUCGGAGGAAAGAAUAAGCGGAAGCAGAUUACAAUAACUUAACUUACAUUCAUAAAAUAUAUAGAGAGAGUAUUAUUAUUACAAUACCAGGGUAUUAAGAGUGCAUAAAUUAUUAUUACAACCCAGGGAGGCAAAACACCCUCCCGCACAAAAGUUUAUUGUUUUUAAGGUGGGAGGCAAACAUCCUCCCACGAACAUCUUCACUGCUGGGGCUCCUCCUUGGAUACCACCUUUUAAUAGAAAAAACAAAAACUCUGUUGUUUCCUCACCUACAACAACAUGGGUUCUAAAACCCUGAGAACGGAGUGUACUUUCGCAAGUCUUACUCGACAAAAGAAAAAGACUCUCAAGGAUAUGCUGGCUUGAGGGAGUCAAGGUAAGGCUUAAUCGAGAAUCAAAGACCAUGUUUGCAAAAAUGCUUACUAUCAGUGGGUCCUUAAAAGUCUAGUUUUAUUGUCAAGUUAAGUCAUUACCUGUAGCUAGAGUUCUUUCUACCCUAGUUCAAGCACUUGGCGUACACUAGCUGUCUUUUACCAACCUUUCAUUUCACGGGAUUGCUACGUGUAGGGCAGUGACCAAGUCUUCAUAUCCGAGAAGUAAUGGCGAUCCGAAUCGAUUAUACCCAGCUAGGGAUCUCCAACCACACGACAUAUGUAGCACUUAACCCUUGCAUAUGUCAACUCGCCACCGAGUUUCUUAAGACCAGACCGGGUUCACGCCAACUGAUAGCACAGAUACACCACCGUCCAGCCUCUUGCCACGGAGGGUACACGCUACUCUCGCCAUCUCUCCACUUCCAUUGUGUGUUGGCCUUUCUGGUAUUAGUCUGCCCGAGGCAAAGAUUACCCAUGACGAGGCAUGUGGCCAGUUAAAAGGUCCUCAAUCAUCAAGCAUACAUUGGUAUGGUCCUUAAUCGACUCAGACGGAGACACUACACCGAGACUUCCUUCUUGUGCAAGUCACCAGCCCGGUCUCAGCUUUAUUAUUUAAAACCCAAAUAUGGUACCUGGCGAGGUACAUCUUUUCAGAUGUUGAACCCAUCAUGGCCAUGAUGGAUUCACCAUCAAAAGUAUUUUCUUUGUAAAAAUUCCCAUCCACUGUGAAGCAUCACCUUUUGUUUUAAAACAAAACAUUUUAGUUUUCUAGAGCAAUACUAAGCAUCAGAAAACUUUUUAACAAAACAGGUAAUCAAGGAAUGGUAAUCAAUUCCAAGGAAGGAAUGCAGCUAUUGUUUAUCACCCAACUCCUAUCACCUAAUGCAUCAUUUCAAGUGAUAAAAAGUAUAAAACAGGAAGGAAGGGUAGAUGCACCGGGGCUUGCCUUGUGUUGUAGGGGAUUCGGGAUCUGUUCCACAGAUAUCAAAAUAAAAACUAUUCCCGGCAGGUGGAGUCUUAGUUGGUGGUGCAGUUUCUUCUUCUUCGACAAUUACACUUCUUCGUUUUCUAUACAUAACCAUACAUAUACAAGAAUGCUCAUGUGAUGCUAUAAAUAUGAAGUUAUAAAAGAGAUACAUCAAGUUGUAUCUUGAAUACAACUUUCCUUGAUGGUACACCUAGGUAGCUAGGGUUUUUGGAGUCAGUACUCCAUUAGGAUAAGGCAAAUACUACCUUAGAAAGCUAGGGUUUUGGGUUUGGGAUCAAACAAUGUCCAAAACAUGCCAAACUUUACCCAAGGGCUCUAAUUAUCAUAUUAAGCUUGCCCAAAAAGUUUUAUGAUUUUUGGAGCUGGUAAUCAAAUUCUAAAAUUCUAAAAGACAAGCUUUAGGCAUUGUUAAUUGCUAAAUAAUUCCUGGUUGGGAUUAAAAAUCUUGGACCUAUUUUUAUUAAAUACUAGAGGAAAUUAGGAGUCUAGUAAAAUUGGUCCCAUGAUUUUAUCAUUUUUGUAGAAUUUGCUAUAAAUUUCCUAAGUCUGGUAGAAAAAGAAAAAGAAAAGGAAUGAAUAGUAACGGGCUCAAACCUGCCCGAACCGGCCCACGAACGGGGAAACACGCCCUCGAUGUCCAAUUUGCGCAAAGGACCUCGGCUGUUUGAAUAACCGGUUAAGAACCCUUGCGCACUACUCAUUUAUGUCUCUGACAUUCAGAGUUAGGCCCCUACACUUCUGUUUCUUCGCAGCGCCAAGUCCAUGACUGUGAACGGCGACGAGCAUGCCUCCGACAAACUUGUAGUGGCCGGAAUACGCAAUGGCUGGUGCCCUAACUCGGCUAACACCAAAUCCUACCCCAGGCGACCCUAAUCCCUCCAUCAAUUGCACAUAUCCGGCUCAGAUUAUGUCUGCUCACGAUGGCGGUGAAAACCGGAGACAAACCGAGGUGUUAUUGGUGAUUCAGUGAGGUCUAGCUCAAUCAAAUGGGUCUACGAGCAACAGGAGGCUUGAGGGAGGCUAGAACAUCAAGCAGAGACGCUUGAACUCACCUGAAGAGAGCUAGCCACGGCGAGGGGUUCACGGUGGUGCGGAAAACGGAUUUGGGGGAAAUGCGAAAUUGGGAGGCUCUAGUGGACGAUCAGAGGCGAGAGCUGGUGCAUUGGGUGCCUAAUAACCUAGCAGAGCUCACUGGAGCAUCAUUUUAUAGAAUCCAUCAGCGGUGGCGUCCAAUUUUGAGAAGGCGUGCUGGCGGCCGGAGAGAGGGGAAGUUCACUAGCGCGGGUUACCGUGGCAUUCACUGGAGCAACGACUCAGCCGAUAGAUAGGCCAUCUAUAGCAACCUAUUGUUGUGGGGGACAGAUAUCCCCUGGGUCCACUGGAAGGAUAAAAGACCUCACGAAAGGCCCAGGGGCCCAAUAAAUCGUAAGGUCAUCCCUUCGUGGGCCUGGGGAGGAACGACCGCUGAAGAAAAUUGACAUAAGGCCGGAUCGGUGCAAGCCCAGACGACCCAAUGACUUCGAGCAAGUAAUCACAACAGUGACCCGAUCUUCCCACGCUGGAACCCCGUGCAACGGAACCAAGCGAGGAUGGGUCGGUGGAAUUAUAGGAAGAUAGGCUUAAUUGGUUCACUAUCAUUUAGGCGCAUACUGCUAUCAUAUCUGCAUGUAAUGCCCCACGGUCGAGUAUAUAAGGCCUAGGGGGCACCCCUUCAGAACAAUCGAACUCACACUCAGCCAUCCACCUCGACUCUCUACGUUUCCCGCACUAGAGAGCUCCCUUGUAACCAGUCACGUAAAGCAUUCUCGCAAGGACGUAGGGUAUUACGCAUUUCAAAGCAGCCCGAACCUGUAAACCAUUGUCUACUGUUUCUCGUGCAUCCGGCAUGAACCAUUUAGCUACAGUCGGUAACACCGUCCUACUCCUAAAAAGCACCUUGAGGGGCAACCCCGGGUGUGCGGUCGGACCCAAAACACCGACAGCUAGCGCGCCAGGUAGGGGGUGUGUCGCCGAUCCAAGCUAGCUCAAUGGCCGUCACCUUCCAACAUAAGAUCAUCCUCCGCUCCGGAUCCGUGUUCUGCUUCGGAACUAUCUCAGCUGUAGUGGAUGAGGAAGGAAUUCUACAUCGCAUCGCAGAUCCGCCAAGGAGGAAGUCUCCUCCAACAACCUCCGAAAAUAUCAAGGCGAGGCAGGGAAAUGUGCAACCUCUAGCGCUCCGAAGAAAGAUCGCCUUCAGCAAGCUAGGAGCCGAGGGCCCGCUGACCCGGAGAACUCCACUGUCUACUUCUCUGACGAAAGAAUGAACACAAAUCGCGAGGAAGAAAGAAACAAAUAAAACCGGGAGGAAGCCAGUUGUUCUUUCUGUGCCUUUGCCCUCAAAGGAGAACAGAAAGAAGAUCGCCACGACAGCUGCACCAUUCUACCCCGACAUCCUCUUCAUCGGGAGAGUGGAGUCGCCCCCCGUCUCCGACGACGAGCCGACUGCACCCGGAGAGGAACCUCCUUAGCGGGAAUCCCGCCGAUGAAGGAACCGACGCUGAAAUAUCCGGCGACAUCACGAGGCCGGAGAGCAGGACCCGGAGCAGCCUGUAUCGCGAGACGAGGUCUCAGAGAUAGGAGAAACUCCGGAGGAACGUGUCUUCAGGGAACGAAGGAAUUCCUGACGGCGUGAUCGCCGACGGGCUCAGGAACAAGCCGAGGAGGAGGCAAGGCAACGUCGGGAAAAUCCACUCUUCGGGCGCAACCUGAACCCCGACUUCGCCCGAGCCAUGAACACGCCGAGUGAAGUCGGAGGGGUGCUGUUGGGGGCCUUCGUCCUCCGAAGGUCCUCAAAAACAUGAUUUGACAAUGCUUUCCAAGUGAAUUAUAUGAACAGGUAUUUUCGGAUAUGGAGCACGACCAGGACGAAGGCUGAGCCAGACGAAGGUCGAGGGCAGCCGAAGCUGUACGCAGGGAAGCUUCGGCGCGAUAGCACAAGGGGGAACCGACUUAAAGAUAAAAAGACUUCGGGGUCCUCAAUAGAUUUCCAUAAACCGUUAACAAAUGUAAUGGACAUGGAUGUAAUUUUACGUGGGCUGCGUCCCGCGUCUAUAAAUAGAUGAACAGUACUCCCGUACUGUUCACGCUGACCGGUCAUUUGCUUUCGCAUCACGCUUGUACUUUUGCCUUCCGCAGGACCGAAGGUACAUUUGUAAUUCGAAGUCAUUUAUAUUCAUUAAUACAAGUAGAGAUAAUUCUAUGACAAUAUUCAAAUGUUUAUUUCAUAUUCUAUGAUUUAUGCAAAUGUUUCAUUCUUCGUUGUUAUGCUUACGAAGGUAUGUCCUUCGUAACCUUCGUCCGAGAUGCUUUAUAUCCCGAAGGGAUAUAUUGUUAUGGAGGACGAAGGACCUUAACACUUAACAUUUCUUGUGUUGCCUUGUUCUUAAUUCUUAGCAUUUGAGAACAAGUCCCCAACAUUGGCGCCCACCUCCGGUGAACUCACUUCCAUUUCGAGCUUUUUUGAACACCUUCGGAAGCUAUGGCGCCGAAGAAAGCUUCAGCGACUGGGGCUUCAACACUGCAACCGUUGGACAUCAACCAGGAGACCGUCUCUCUUCGGGAGGCCCGAAGCCAGAAGAGAAAGGCUGUCAGCCCGACACUUCAGGAAGAGGAGCUAGACCAAGAAAUCAGGGAUAUGGAGAUGCUACACCAACAAGUACAAAGGAAGAAGGAGAAGAUGGCCCGCCUAGCCGAGUUGCAAAGGCAGAUAGACGAAGCCUCUGAGGAAGUCCACCAUCUUACUCACGAUGAGCAGAACAGAAGGCCUCAUCAGAAAGACCUUCAUCAGGAGGGCUUCGUCAACGAAGAUGACUGGUAUGAUAAUUUCCAUCAGGGAAAUUUUGUUUUUGAUGAUGCUUCUCCUCUGUCUGCUGAGCUGCAGGCUACACCUUGGCCACCAUCCUAUAAGCCACCCCAGCUCCCCAUGUUUGAUGGUCAUUCCGACCCGAAGCAAUUCUUGAUGAGCUACGAAGCAACGGUAUCUUCGUACGGGGGCAAUGCUGCAGUCAUGGCAAAGUCUUUCGUCAUGGCCGUCAGGAAUGUUGCUCAGACCUGGUAUUCCUCCCUUCGGCCAGGAACAAUAACCUCAUGGCAGAAGCUGAAGGAUAUGUUACUGACCAGCUUUCAAGGAUUUCAGACGAAGCCGGUCACAGCUCAAGCCCUGUUCCAGUGUAUUCAGGAUCACGAAGAGUACCUUCAAGCGUAUGUCCGAAGGUUUUUACGAUUGAGGGCGCAGGCACCAACGGUGCCCAAUGAAAUUGUUAUCGAAGCUAUGAUCAAGGGGCUUCGUCCUGGACCUGCAGCCCAAUACUUUGCUAGGAAGCCUCCUCAGACUCUGGAGAAGCUACUCCAAAAGAUGGACGAGUACAUUCGGGCUGAUAAUGACUUUCGCCAAAGGAGGGAGGAAGCCUUCAGAUUUUCUGAAAUGACCAGGGGCUUCGGAGGGAGAUAUUACCCGAGGCAUGUCCGAUCCAUCCACAACACUCAGAAUGAUGAUAAGGGGAAUCAGAACAGACCGCAAUGCUCCUCACAGGCUUCGGGACAACAACAAACUUCCUUCCGGCCACCAGCUCCAAGAGGCAGAGGCGCCAGGGGCUUCGGCGGAAGAUUCGGAGAUCAGCCAAGGAGACUGUUUUGCUUGUUCUGUGGAGAAGGCAAGGGCCAUACCACUAGGUCGUGCCACAUUACAAUCCAGAAGCAAAAGGAAAUUGCCGAAGCUGCAUCUCAACAAGCUCAGCCGAAGCAGGUCAUGCAUACUGCUUCGUGUCAUCCGCCUUAUAUCCCACAAUACAUAGACAACCACCCUGCAGCUUCCGUAGCUUCCGCAAGUCAACCUCAAGCUUCCUGGCAACAGCUUCCGCCCCCACCUCCAUUGCAGCAAGGUCAACAGCCAGAAGGGAGUCAAUACGCUCCACAGCAGAGGGACUUCAGAGAGCAGUCCGAAGCUCGCACAGUCAACAGCACUGUGCCAGAGUCGAAACACAUUUAUUGACACAUAUCCUACCUUUGAUAGCAGUCUUUCUUAUUCAGUUUUAUUUUCUGUCAAGCAAAAAAAAAAAAAAACAUUGAUAGUUUUCAUGUAAUAAUGUCGUUGUUUUCCACGAGGAAGAUCUAUUUGAUCCACAAGCUUAAGUUGCUGAAGCUUAAAAUUUUUUCCGUUACCAAGGAGGACCUUCGAAUUAAAAAUCCUUCGGAGUAACGAAAAGUCGUUCUAAGGAACGCAGAGUAAGUUUGUGAAGUCACAAAAAGCCGUUCCAAAGGGAGCGCAGUGUAAGUUUUCUGCUCAGAAGUCGUUCCUAAAGGAAUGCAGAGCCUACAGCGAAAAGUCAACGCUGAUACCGCCUAAGUAAAGGGCGAAGAAGCUCCUAAGGGAGGCUUACAGCGAAAAGUCAACGCUGAUACCGCCUAAGUAAAGGGCAAAGAAGCUCCUAAGGGAGGCUUACAGCGAAAAGUCAACGCUGAGAUCGUCUAAGUAAAAGACGAAGAAGCUCCAAAGACGUUCCUAAGGGAAUGCAGAGCUUACGAAUGUGUUUUGUGUGUAUCUUCGGAACAGACGUCAUUUGCAUAACAUAACAUCAUCACAUCAUUUCGCAUAGCAUAAGCAUCAUACAUCAUGUUGCAUACGGCAAAAAGAAGGGCACACAGUACUAACCUUCGAAAGAAUGAUUUGAGAAAAUGCAAAUUGUGCAAAGUCACAAGGGAAUAUAAUGAUAAUCUUCGGAAAAUAGCUUCGGAGAAUGCUUUCACGAAGCAUGGACGAUUAGCUUCAGUGGUUGUUUUUACGAAGCAUGGAUGUGUUUUUUCGGAACAGUUUUAACGAAGAAUGUUUUCUUCACGAAGCAUGAAAAGAAGGGAAGGUGUUUUUUCGCCGAAGGCUCAAAAAUGGUAUGUAUGUACAGUUUCAUGCAUCGUAAAGAAUUGAAUAAUGGAAAGAAACUUGUAUAUUACAUUCAAAUGUACAAAUGUUACAUAGAUUACAAUUUAACUGUUUUUCUAAAUAACAUCUAGUCUUCUCUUAAAACUGCUUCGGCGACUUCAUUUAAAAGUUGAUCAACAACUUUGUCCAUGAUAGCUUCGGCCAUUUGUUUAAUUUCAUCAUCCCCUUUUGUUUGGGGAUCGACAGUCGAUGCGGUACCUUCGGGAGCAAAAGAACAUUUUUUUUCAUUACUAUUAUAAACUGUGAGUAGAGUGUGAAACAAAAACUGCAACACAAUAAGAACGACUAAUUAAUACCUAAUUGUCUUUCGGGCUCCGUACUUUUUUCGGCAGUCUCUGCCACUUUCCUAGCUUCGUGGAUGCCUUUUUCGCUCCUUUCGAUAAUUUCUUGUGCCAUUCCUCGGCCGCCGUCGUUCCAGAUAUCAGUAAAAAAUUUGCCAGCAACCACGCUUGCUUCGGCUGAGGGGUCCUUGAUAUCUUCGAAGGGUAAGGUAGCUUCGGACUGAGCUAAAAGUUUUACGUGCCCGCAACCCUUCUUUUCUAACACAGAAGUAAUUCCUCUAGCGCCUGAAAAAGCGCAUAUAUCGCCACGGCUGUUCAGAAUUUCUUCGAAGGCCUCUGCUUCGUGGCUAAUCCAUUCCAGCGGAUCUUCGGGAUUGCCUCGAGAAAAAUUCUCUUCGCUGGAAAAGGCGCCGACGCUAGCAAAGCUGUUUUUAAUUUUAUUCACGCAUUCUAUAGAUUUAACAUAGCAUUUCCACUGCGAUGUGCGAAGCUCCUUAACUCUUGAUUCCAAUUUGUUGACCAUAAAAUCACUAAGUUCACGCUUCGUUUCCUCAAGCGCGCGCUCCUCUUUAGCUCUAGCCAGUUGUUUCCGAAGAUCUUUAAUCUCGCGUUUUUGAGCUUCGGAUUGGGCCUUUGAAGCGGCUUCGUCUUUUUUCACUUUAUCCACCAAUGUAAACAGAAUUUUAUCUUUUUCCAAAGCUUCAUUUCUCAGCUUGAUAACUUCGGAGCGUAAAUUAUUAAACGCAAUUUCAUAACUUUCAUCUUCGGCGCUCUUCUGCGCUCUUAGCGCGUUGCUUAGGAUCAGGCCCUAUACGAAAAAGAAUUCAAAUAAGGAAAAAGGAAUGAUGUGCGUAAAAAUAAUAAGGGGGUUUUUUCAAGUGUUUAAUUCCGGUACCUUCAAGCUAUUAUACGCAAGGCUGUCUGCGAGAUCCUCUUUCGUCAUGGCACUUAACCCAGCUUCAAGCUUCGGAAAGCCUAUGCUUCUCGCCAUCUCUCGGCAGACGGAUAGCUCUUUGUUAUCAGGCAGGCAGUAUAAGAAGUCAUCUUCGUUUGUUCCAUUGAAUAUUACUGCCCCCUUCGGAUAUUUCAGCUCCUUUGCAUAAUGGUUGGCCUCAUAAGCUUCUUCCUCAGAUAGCUUUUUCCCCGAAGCAUGUCGUAUGAUGUAAUCAUGCAUGCCGGCAGGUGCUUCGGGGAUGACGGUGCCCGUUUCUUCAACUAAUAUUGGUUCCGGAAUUUUUACUGCUUCGGCUUCAAAAGGUUGUUCUUUGAAGGGCUCUGAAGGCCCAGCUUCAGCUUCAGCUUGUUGAGCCGAAGCUUCAGUAGAACCUUCAGCAACAUCAACACUCUUUUUUGAAAUUGUACUUGAAGACUUAAUCGUCUCCAAGACGUCUAGUACAUUUACCAUUCUUUUCCUUUUUGGGGUCACUAAUGGCCCCUUUUGGUGUUUUGCUGUCCCAACGAUUGCUGUAGGACUCAAAACUUCUAAUGUUUUGGAGCCCUCAGUUGCUUCUCUUACUUCCUCAAUUUUUUCUGUGAGCGGCGCUUCGGUUUUCUCUUUUGUUUCUGACAACAAAAUGUCUGAUUGUUCUGAUUCAAUCUUUGGUGGCACUUCGGCCGUCUCUGCGAUCUCUGGCAACAAGGCUGACUUGAUUAGUUUUUCAGCUUCGGUGGCUGAAGAAGUUUUCCCGGUAAACUCCGGCACCGAAGCUGGUUCAAUAUGGCGUGGUCGAUGUGUGAAGACCUUCAACCUUUUUCCUUUUGGUUCUGGCUCGCUAGGAGCGGUUUCAGCUUCUUCUUUUUCAGAGGUUAUAUUUUUCCUUUUUUGCCUUCGGAUGGGAUAACAAUAAUCAGGGUAGAAGAACCCGAUUGCAUCAAACACUCGGUUCAGUCUCUUCUUCUUUCGGCCUCCGAAGGCUGCUGAUAGUGCAGUAUUUUCAGCCUUCGAGUAUGCCCCAAGUAAUUCAUCACUUAAUGUUUCAAUGCUUUUCAGCCAGUCAUCAUCAGGUUCAAUAAAUUUAUCUGCAUAUUUGAAUGUGUAUUUUAAUCUGACUAGUCCGCCUUCGUCGGACUCUUUGAUGGUUUCUUUCGGCAUUUCCCACUUUUCUGCAAGUGGCCAUACCCUGAAGGCAAUGUGCUCCUGGACCAAGUCCCUUGUCCCAAUGAAGGAGCAGACUGCGCCGAAGGCUCUUUGGCAUUCUUCGGCUGCCUCAUCCAUUUCAACCUUCGGCCUUCGAAGUCCGAAGCGUUGCCAAAUUGGGUACAUAAUGAUACUUUUGACAUUAUUUUGCGCUGUUAGAUCAUUUUUCACAUAAAACCAUUCAGACAUCCAGGCUCCGGGCCACCUCUUCCGAAAGGUUGGCACAGGGUAGCUUGACCCGGAGCGGGCGCCGAAGCUGUAGCACCCAAAGUUGUUGUGGUAUUGCUCCUUUCCCCAGGGCUUUGUCUCAUACAAUAACUCGUGUAUGUUGCAGAAGCUUUUAGCGUUUGGCUCCAAACCUUGGCUUCUCGCAGCCCAGACAAAAAUCCCCAUUCUUAUAAUAGCUUCGGGAGUGAGUUGAUGAGGGUAGAUUUGGAAUGUUUUCAGUACCUCAACAACAAAAUUGCUCAGGGGGAAUCGAAGCCCAGCCUUGAGGAAGCUUCGGAAAAUCACAACUUCAUCCUCUUCAGGGGUGGGAGAAGUCUUUUCCCCGGCAUCAGCUCUCACAAUAGAUAUGUCUCGGAAGUAUCGCCCCCUCAUAUUAUCAAUGUGACUCUGCUUGAUGGUUGUUUUCCCAAAAACUGAGUGACUUGGUCGCCACGGUCGAUCUUCGGCCUCUUCCCCAUCACUUUCUACAUCAUAGCUGUCGCUGUCAUCAGUAUCUUCGGACAAACCUUCGAGAAUCUCCUUCGUGAUUUUCUCUGUAUUAGUCUCUGCCAUCGCUAUCAGGAACCCCAGAUUCUUCUCCUCCUCGAGACUCAGCUUCGUCUCAGCAGGGAUCUUCUUGUCUUCAGACAUCUUCGGAAACACUAAAAAUUUGUUCCCGAGGCCGAAGCUUCGAAGUCAAAAAGACCAACAAAUCUCAAUGAACAAGAGCUAAAAAUUUUUAGUGGGCCGAAGCAAAAGGCAAGCGUGUGUACCAAAUGAAUUCACGAUGUGUUCUUAUUUAUACGCCUAGGGCGUUGAAAGUUAAAAGGCCCCGCUUGUCAGUGAAUGUUGCUAUUCUAGCAAAGGGAAGGUGUUUUUUCGGACCUUCGGCUCAAGGCCUUCGUCCAUAUCGCAAUCUGAAUUUAUUAUUUACAAAUUAAUAUUGCGAGGGGCUACUGUUGGGGGCCUUCGUCCUCCGAAGGUCCUCAAAAACAUGAUUUGACAAUGCUUUCCAAGUGAAUUAUAUGAACAGGUAUUUUCGGAUAUGGAGCACGACCAGGACGAAGGCUGAGCCAGACGAAGGUCGAGGGCAGCCGAAGCUGUACGCAGGGAAGCUUCGGCGCGAUAGCACAAGGGGGAACCGACUUAAAGAUAAAAAGACUUCGGGGUCCUCAAUAGAUUUCCAUAAACCGUUAACAAAUGUAAUGGACAUGGAUGUAAUUUUACGUGGGCUGCGUCCCGCGUCUAUAAAUAGAUGAACAGUACUCCCGUACUGUUCACGCUGACCGGUCAUUUGCUUUCGCAUCACGCUUGUACUUUUGCCUUCCGCAGGACCGAAGGUACAUUUGUAAUUCGAAGUCAUUUAUAUUCAUUAAUACAAGUAGAGAUAAUUCUAUGACAAUAUUCAAAUGUUUAUUUCAUAUUCUAUGAUUUAUGCAAAUGUUUCAUUCUUCGUUGUUAUGCUUACGAAGGUAUGUCCUUCGUAACCUUCGUCCGAGAUGCUUUAUAUCCCGAAGGGAUAUAUUGUUAUGGAGGACGAAGGACCUUAACACUUAACAUUUCUUGUGUUGCCUUGUUCUUAAUUCUUAGCAUUUGAGAACAAGUCCCCAACAGGUGCUGGCUUAGAUAGCUGAUGGGCUCCCUCGGACUCCCGACGCCGAGGGCUAUCGGCAGCUGUUCACUCAGGCAACCAAUCACCUUCUACCUCUCGCUCACCCGCCGAACGAUCUACAACACGCCAUCAACAAUCGCCGGGACGCGUGGAGCUCCAUCAAUGCCUCGCGUGAACGACGACACGAGAACGAGAUCCGCCGCUGGGAAGAGUAUGACAGGGACCACGACAUCCCAGCCUGGAGUCAGGCCGCCAGGACUGAGUCGGCAACGGCUUCGACUGGCGGUACCACCCGGGGACGGUCGAGGCACCAUGACAACCACUCCCCUCACCGGGACAGACAUCAUCCCC
rnacentral:lncRNA from 1 species